rnacentral:lncRNA from 1 species
CACCACCAUCUUGAUAGUUAAACAAUUUCACUGUAAAAGCUAUUAAACUUAGCAGGAAAAAAAAUUUAAACUUUAUCUAACAUUUGAAUCUACAAUUUUCAAUUAGCAACUCUUGUCACAAAUGUUUAUUAGUGGGGUACGUUCUAAGAUAUUGUUAUUUGCUAAUUGUCGAGGAUUAUUUGGGAGUUAAAUCUCACAAGAAGGCGUAAAGAUCACAUUAGAAUUAGAUAUUUUACUAGGAAGCUAAAGAUCACAUUAGAACCACCCGCAGGAAUACAAAAAAACGACAUACCUUAUAGUCCAGUUGAUCAAAACCCUUGCAAACAAAUUCGAACAAGGUUCUUAAGUUCUCAGGGCUGGGUGCAGUUACAAAUAUAUUUGAAUACCUGUGAAGAUAUAUUUGUAUCGUCAAAACAUAGUACAUGAAUAUGAGUGUAGACAGCUACACAUACACCAAAACAGUUUUAAUACAUUGUAAAAGGCAUACUACCCUGCAGCAAUAGCUCCGGAAAUUGCCAAACCAAGUGCAGCCGAUUUUCCACGGCCUCGAGCAGCAAGCAAGGCAACAGUACUUCGGAGUGUCUUGUCCAAGAUUGCAUCAAGAAAUGUAGCAACAGCAUUUCCCUGUUGAAACAUUUACCAACUCAAACUAUGAGUCAUAUUAGUAAAUCACACAUGAUAGAAAAACUCAAAACUAAUACAAAUCAGAGAGAGUGCCUACCUGGUCCAACGUACAACAUUUCUUUAUUAAAGGGCCAACAGGAAAGGCAUCACUCAGCUGCUCUUUUAGAUCCUUCAGUUCCCUUUGUGACUCUGAUAUCCCUUCAGAGUCCUUCAAUCAUGAUCAGAAAACAAGAAAAAAGUUAUCAAAGUUAUCAAAGCUUCACAAACUCCUAGAAAGUAUCCUAAUAACCAUUCGGUAUACACACACUUGAAAAAUUACUUUUAUUCUUUUUGUCAUCUCGCAUAAGAUGCCACGAAAAUAAAGCAUUCCUCGAUUUAUCAGUUCCGUCCUAUAGAAAAGUUACAAGGCUAAAAGGUUACCUCUUUCACUGGAACUGGGGUAAUUGACCUCAUAUGAGAUGAAAUUGGUAAAAUAUUCAGCUCAUCAUCCAUUACUACACAUGAUUUGCAUGACGCAAGUGACAAUAAGAAACGCUCGUUAAAACGUCCAGUAGCCUUAGAAUGGGAUUCAGUUCGAAACCUAUCAUGAACAUCCUGAAAUCAAGAGGCGCUGAUAAGACUGUAUGGAGAUUUUUGCAUUUGAGAGAACGAGAAAGACAGUGUUGCAAAUAAAACAUGACAUAACGGAAUUGUUAUCAAAUAUAAUAUGUGGUGCAUGGCUAUUGCUAUAUUCGUUCUAAGUCCAUAAUGUAGUAAAACUAGAAACUACCUCAACAAGAAGAACAAAUAUUAUGAGGAAACCUAGUUGUUUUUUCUUCUUCUUUUUGGGGCUAGAACAUGAAAAGAAACAACUAGUCUACAUAGGCCCAACUGGGAAACUUAUAUGUUCAGCAGCAUUCUCUUAAAGAAAGUCAAGCAAUUGAAUCUACCAAAAGUCUUCUUGUAGCCAAGCACAUCAUUACGAAAAAAUUCGGAAACUUUUAACAUGGCUAGUUUUCAAGAUUUUGCGGUAUAUAAUAAGCAUAACCAUGCUGGCCUAAAAACUAAGCAUUAAUUGUGUGCAUGCGUAAGAGAAAGAGGUAUUAUUAUAUGCAUACCAUAACCAUGGUGUAGAGGUUGGUGAGUGAGGUUAGAGAAUGAAGCAACAAUAUGACUAGUCCACCUCCCUCCACUGUCUCUAUCGUUCUUGCUAGUAGAUUUGGAGUCAAGGCCUCAAAAUCCUAAUGCAGGAGAUCAAACUUAGUCAUAAAACUUAAAUCAAUUAUACAAGGGGUCUUGGCCAAACCAGUAAAUUUGUAAGUUUCAAGUUACCUGAAGUAUACACAUUCCAAAGGUAUUACCAAGAACUCUUUCUGAAUCCUUGUACAAGCAAUAAGUCAAUCCCCCACUUUCAACAAAAAGUGAGAAAGGAUCAACCUUCUCGGGAUCAAGCAGCCCCCUCUGCAUCAUCUUUUUUACUUGCUUAGCACGUUUUUUCUUGUGACUGCAUCAUGAAGUAGUCAAACGCAACGAAUCAAUAUAUUUUAAAAACGAAAUUCCGCCUUGCCUUAUAAUAAGGUGAAGAAUGGAAGGUAGAAGAAAUCAACCUGCUGAGCUCGAGCUUGUCCUUGUAGCACCACAACACAGUCGGGCGCGAUUUCUUUACUUCAUUGCUUAGCAUAUAAUGAAGAUUCACAAUCUGAAGACCAUAUAAAACUCCAUAUUAGCCAUUUUCCGUUAGUUUUCGAUAGAUUUUCGAUGAUAUUUCUUACCUUGUUUGAGGUUUUUAGUGUUACUCGGUGAGUAUUGCAGGUGAAAACAAGAAACAGUAAAACUGGUAAAAUUUUCUACCCAAUUCAAUUUAAAUCAUUGUUAUAACUCCUCAAAUUGAAUAGGAAUAGCAAAUAGGGAAUGGGAUAGGAAAGGCAGAAGAAAUUAGGAGUACCUGGUCACGGGAUUUGUCGCCGACGAUGACGAACAUGGAGCGGUGCCGGUUUUUGACGCCAUUGCUUAUUAGGGUUCGGAUUCGUUCGUCCACCUUCUUCCUCAUUCUCUCUCUCUCUUCUCUCUCUGUGCAAUUAGGUUUAGGGUUUAUACCAUAGGGCAGUUGUCGUCGUCGGGCAGGGUUUAAGCCGAACUAGUGAGAGAGAGACUAGACAUCGCGGAGAGAUAUUGAGUUCAUCUCAACCGUUGAUUGGCUAUCUGAUGGCUGUUAUCAAAGCUGACAUAAAAAUGAAAACUCAACACGUGGCCAAGUAUUUUUUUUCUCUCUUUUUUGGCUUAUUUAUUGAUUUGCCCCAGAAAUUAUUUUUUUUGUCUUACUCUAGGUCAUGAAACAGAAUUUAUCUUACUUUAUCUUCUAAAACUACCAAAAUCGAGUCAUUUCACCCAUGUUUUGUCAAUUCUAUCUCAUAAACGUUAAAUAAAAGGGAGUCUAAACAUUUCAUACCAUGCUAGCAAAGAUGAGCCACUGUUGUUGGUGAGGUACGAAAUUUUCAAACUUUCCUAAACCUUUAAAACUUAAAAGGUAUCUUGAAUAUGAACGUAAAUGAGGUAAAGUUGCUCAAUUUUGGCAAUUUAUGAAGGGUAAAAUGAGACAAAUUCAAUUUAAGGCUAAAGUGAGAGUAAAUGGCAGUUUCAUGAGAUAUAUCAAUAAAUAAAUCUUUUCUAGAAUACAACUAAAUUAUGUACUCACGGUAAAAGAUAAAUUAAUAUCGAACUUGUCAUUGACGAUAUCUAAACAUAAAACCUUUCAAGUUUUUACCUAUAAGAAUAAAUUUGGUAUAGUAAUUUCUUUUCUAAUUUAAAGUUUCCCAUAGAGUUAUGACGAAUUUGAUACCAAAUUAGGCUGUCAUUGUGUGGCAUAGCCGAAUUCCUCCUCCCUUACUUUAAAAAUAACGAUGUACUCAAAAAAAGUUUCCCAUAGAGUUAAAAUGAUCUUUAGUUGCUUGCUGAGACAACCCAUAUGUAUAAUAAGACAUUGAAAAAGGUGCCUCUGUCAUUUACACUCACACGAUCGAAUAAGUAGCUCCGACAGUUGCAUCAUAAAAUUAAGGGGUUUUCCGAGAUUGUAGUAAGGUUGACGAUUAAAGUUUGGGAAAUUUUCAGGUUAAGGAAUCAAGGGAUCACAUUUUCAAGUUUCGUAGGCAUUCUCUUUCCUUUGGAAUGGUGUUGGAAUCCGUCCUGAAGUUGCCCAUUCCUUUGCUCUUGAUUUUCAGAGUUGGAUAGCUAUAAACCUUAGGACACAUUGUACCACCAUACAUGGUUUACCUUGGAACCUUAUCUUUAAUUCAACUCUCUGGCAUUGCUGGAAAUGGAGGAAUAACUUUGUCUUCAAUGAUGGCCAACAACCGCUUGACUCACCCCAGAAUUUCAUUUUUCAAUUUGCAAGGGAAUGGUGUGAUGCGAACAAGUGUUCUUCUAGUAAGCCUCCUAGACAAAAUCAUCUCAAUCCAUUGGAUUCGUUUGCCAAUUGGUAUACAAAAUCAAUACAGAUGGGAGUUGUAAAGACCCAUUUAGCCACAUAAGUGCUGGAGGUUUGCUUCGUAAUUCUGAAGGGAAAUGGAUUAAGGGAUUUGCUGCUAAUUUGGGCAGAGGAACCAUCAUGGAAGGUGAGCUUUAAGGGUGGUUUCAUGGGACUUUCUAUAGGUUGGGAUGAGAGUUGCAAGGAAGUGAUUAUUGAAUGUGAUUCUUAUGCUGCUGUUACUUUGAUCCAACAACCUAUUUUAGUUCCCACUCUACAAUCUCAUUAUUGACUGCAAAGAAGCCAUUGAAAGAAAUUGAAGAUGUGAAGUUACUCAUAUCUAUAGAGAAAAUAAUGUCUUAGCUAAUCACACGUCUGACUUAGGUCAUGGGUUAUCACUUGGUCUUCAUGUUUUUGCUUCUCCUUCUACCAUUGCUACUAAUUUUAUAGUUUCUAAUACUAUUGGCAGGGCCCUCCCUAGAGCUGUUUUUUAGUAGCUUUUUUGUUUUGCUUGUUGGGCUUUGCCCUCUUCUGUACCCAAAAAAAAAAAAAAAAAAAAAAAUAUUGGGAAAUUUAUUUGGACCCAACUUUUUUAUCUCUACACCCAAAUAAUAUUUUCUCUUAUCUAAUCUUCCAAAUUUGUCCUUAAAUAACAAACAUUGAAGUUUUCUUUGUAUCUCUACACCCAAACCCCACGAUCCACCACUGUAGGGCGCUCCAUUAUUUCCGACAAACCCAACUCAAACGCCAGCAACACUAAAAUCGACAAAUCAAGACUGGAGAACAAAUGGUGUAGGAGUCCUAAUGUGAAUAUUAAAGCAAACUUAAGUUGCAAAACCCUUUUUUAUUUCAAUCGAUGAAAGGACCUUGGGUUAUGAACAUAAGGAACCUAUUAGGGUUUAGAGGUCCCCUCCACAUCAUAUGCAUAAGCCCUUUUUCUUCAUUCAUUAAUUUACGGAAGGGAAAAUUAAUACUAUUAUUCUCAUAAAAAGUGGGAAUACCAAGGAAAGAGAUCCUCUCCACACCAUAUAUUUUUCUUUUCUGAGUAGUUAUAUCCAAUGGAGAGAGGAAAACAAGAGCACCAAUGGUCGCAGGUUCACCGGAGAAAAUGAAGGUGCAGUGGUGAUGUGAGUUUAGGGUUAUUGGGUGUAAAGAUAACAACUUUAAUAUUUAUUUUCUCAUUUUUAUUUAUUUAAGGGCAAAUUUGAAAGUUUAGUAGAGAAAAUUUGUUAGUUGGGUGUAGAGAUAAAAAGGUUGGGUCCAACAAAAUUUCUCAUAAAGUUUAAUCACGCGAUUAAGUUCUUGUGCAAUGAGUAAAUUGUAGCAAUGACCCAUCAACUAAAAAUCCAUUAUUAUUGAUCCCUCAACUCAUCAAAAUAUGUAGUUAUGGUCAUUUUCGUCAACUUUGUAAGAAUUUUGUCAAAAUAAAUUAUGUUGGAAGGACCAUUGUUACAAUUAAGGUCCUUCAACUCAUCAAAACAUGUAGCUAUGGUCAUUUUCGUCAACUUUGUCAAAAUGAGUUAUGUUGGCAUGACCAUUAUUGCAAUUGGGUUAAAGUUGAGGAAUCAUUGCUCCAAUUGGGUUAAAGUUGAGGGAUCAUUUCUCUAGUUAGAUUAAAGUUGGGGGACCAAUGAUAAUUAAGUUUUAGUUAAGGGAUCAUAGUUGCACGUUUUGAUGAGUUGAGAGAUCAAUGAUAAUGAAUUUUUAGUUAAUGGAUCAUUACUCCAAUUGAGUUAAAAAUAAAGGACCAUUGCUACAAUUUACUCUUGUGCAAUAGAAGAUUAAUUUGGCCGAACAACCUGAUUAAGGUGCCUACUUUCUCUUUAAUUCAUUGGUAUCAUUUAUUUUCCCUUAAGCUGAAUUAUGCUCAAUUUAUGUAUCAAUAUUGUAAAGUUGUCUUUGUUAGAGUAAUUUGGACAAUAUAAAUUGAAAAUUAUUUGUGUAUAUGGAAAAGAUUAACCUCAGGGGUCACUUCGCCGGACUCCGUAGCAAUCUCCACCACUCCAAUCGUAAUGGUGAGUAAAUCACUUGUGUUUGUUUCCAUUUUUUCAAUUGGAAAUUGGGGGUUUUGAAUUCAUAUUUUGUCAAUUGGUUUUGUGAGCACUGAGAAUACACUACGAGCUUGUGUGUGUGUACAAUAUGUUGGAUUUGAUCUUUAUAAAGAAUGCGAGAAAUUGGGGUUAGGAAAGAGAAGAAAAGGAAACAGAACUCGAACUUCGAUCUUCAUUCUUGUUACUAAAGGAGAAAACCGAAUUUGAACCGGUUCAUACGUAAUCGAACCGAAUUUGUAUAGUUCGGUUCACCCCUUAGUACCGAACCGUACCAUACCAAAAAAAAUUUCUUGAGUUUGGUUUUGAUACAUCCCUCAUACUGUACCAUACCAAAUCGUGGCCAGACCUACUGAAUACAAAACUUAUAUCUGGGUCGUAAGUCGUAAGGCCUCCAAAAAAAAAGUUCAUAUUAUUCAUACCAAUCGGACAAAUCCCGCACCCAAAAACAAUGGCUAGAUAGAAAGUUCAAUUAUAGAUUAGGUAAUCUAUCCUUUUCAACUUAAAUGCACAUUCAUGAUGGUUAUGCAAAUCAUAUUAUGUUAACAAAUGCAACAAUUAAUUAUAUUUAUCCAUUUGGAAUGAUAUAUAUUUUCAAAGAUGGAAUUACAGACCCCGUUGACGUUGAGGCCAUUGCAUGAGAGAAUUUUAGAUGAUUUUCAAUUAAUUUAUAUUAUUGUUGUGAUAACCAUAAUAAUUAUUUUCUAAAUGUAAAACUAUAUUAAUGAAAUUUUCUUUGUCGGUCAAAAGAAGAUGAAAAGAUAUCUUUAUCUUCUAUCACAACAAAAAAAUUAAGGAUAUUAAUGUAAUAGGCUAAUAGCGAUGGGGUGAAGAAAUGGAACUAUCCUAAAUAGGCAGUUGCUGGUUAUAUUGGAUCAGGUGGUCUGAAUGAUUGGAUAAUUAGCAAAUAAAAAGGUUCCAUUUUUCAUGGACCCUCAAGUGGAAAUAUGGGAUAAAAGAUGGCAUAUACCAUUUUAUCCAUUUGUGAUUGUACAUUUUGAUGGUUGUGAUUUCACCCGAUGGCGCGGCAAGUGUGGAUUGGGAUAAGGAUGGUUUUGGUCUAUCAUCAAAGAUGGUUUGAUGUUCACGACUGGAUUUUACAACGCAUCCAAGUGCAUGGGUUCUAUAAAUACAGAGUUGCGCACAAUAAAAAAGUACAAAGGACCUUCAAACCUUUCACACACUCUGAGAAACUCCUGAUUCUCCCAACUUCGUCAACACAUCUUCAAUUUGGAUUAACAUCACUGUUUGUCAGUGAGGAGUCCUUAGUCUUCUCGUCUCAUUAGCCCUCUAGGUGAAGUGAGGUGUUACUGAAUUACUUGAGUAUUCAGCACAUUGAAAGUCGAACCUUAUUUGAACUUCACAGUAGUUAGCAAUCUUAUCUUCAGGUUUUAGAACCCAAUGCCAAGACAUAUUCCUUCCUCGACAGUGAUGGUUUGUACACAAAAGUUGGUUUGUACACAUAAGUCAGUAUUGUGUUUGACACACCAUCCCAUUCAUUCUACUAGCCCACAAACGCGUGGACUCGUCCAAAAUUACCCCACUCUCGGCCCGUUCACUUGCCCACUCGUCCCACGCGGCCCGUGAGUCUUCAGUGCCUGAUAGGGGGGCCUACUGUUAGGGCCGUUGUUGGCCACAACCCAGAGCCCAACGAUUUUUUUUUGCAUCCCACGACUGGCAUUUUUGGACCGUUGGUUGAUCCAACGGUCCAGAUUCAAAUUUUGUUUUUUUAAAUGUUAUUUUAAAAUACAUUGAAUCCAACGGCUGAGAUCGAAUAUAAUCAAAUCUAACGGUAAAAUAAAAAAAGAUAAAAAAAGAUAUAACAGUCCAAAUUUAAAUCCAACAGCUAAAAUAAUUUUAAAAAAAAUUAUUUAACUCAAAAUUCACCCAAAAACUCUAUAAAUACCUUUGUAUUUGUUCAAACAUCCACACAAAACUCAAUUUUCUCCCACAAUUCUUCCAUUUUUUCUUUCUACCAUUUCUUUCCAUUUCCAAAUUGUUCAACACGAUCCUUGAAUUGGCCAUCCCAAGCAGUAAGACAAUUCUUCCACUCCCAAAGCAUACAAUCGAGACUUCCUAUCAUGUCAGGAAAGCCUAUUUUGUCUGCUUUGAGUAGAAUGUGACGACAUGUCCCGAAUUAUUAUAUAUUUUUCUCCCUAAGUGUGUAAAGUGACGGUAAUGCCCUCGUGAUUUAGUGACGUGGAUGUACAUAUGUAGUUUUAAAUUAUUAUUUCUAUUGUCGUAGUUAAAUUGUACUCGACGCCAUGAGUGUGUUGAUGUGACCUAGGGCUAAAACAAAUUCGUAACGAAGAAGUUACGAACAGACGAGUGUGUAAAUGCGUAGAAAUAUAUUUUUAUGGGUUGGCUAUACCUUACCCACCAAUCACCUUAAUUCCUGAUUUCUUUGGCCUAAUUGAAUUAAAAAUAUCUCUCAUUUUUCCUUCUGCCCAAUCACGCACAUACACACCAUCACUCUCUCUCUUCUCUCGGACCUUCUUCUUCUUUCUUCUCAUUCCGUACACCCGAGCCACCCUUACCUCACAAUCAUCAUCAAAACAUUAUGGAUCGAAUUGGAAAUCACUACCAUCGCAGUCACCUCGAUCCCACGAACUCAUUGAUACCCUUAGGUCGAGGAAUAGACGUCGGGAAUUCGAGAACUCGGGAGCUCUGGCGAGGUGUAUUUUUCUACUUUGUGAUCGUGGUCUUUUUCUAUGGUUUAAAGGCUUGAGGUGGGUCCUAAUCAACUUUAUAGGGACCCUAGAUUAGUUUUGGAGCAGUUUGAACGUUGGAAUAGGUGAGAACAUGGAGUUGCAGGUUGGCCGGUUGAUCCAAGCCUUACUCCGACCACUUUCUGUCGGUUUUAGAACCUCAAGUAGGUAAGAUUGUAUUCUUCUAGUUGAGAGUUUCAAAUCCAUAUAAAAUUCAUGGAAUUUGGUUGAAAAAUGAUGAAGAUAUUAAAGUUUUAAGAUUUUUCCAAAAAUCAGCGACACAAACGGCGCCCGACGGCCAGCGAUGGAUUCCGACAAAGCCAUCGGAGAAGGAGGAGAAUAUUAUGUCUAACUUUGACAGAAUAUACUAACAGCGUCAGGUAACUCUAUUAGUUUUUAAACAAAAUAUUCUACUAUUUAAUGAAAUAUUCCCUAACGCCGUUAGGGAUUCCGUGCCUGCACGUGCCGGCUUAUGAGGGCGCGUGAGACGUCAGGAAAUUAAUCUAAAAAUAUUGGGGUGUUCGAGUUGUUGAGUAGGUCAUGUUGGUAUAUUCAAACACCCUAUUUGAGCAACGUAUGAGAAGUUAUUCCUAGGGUUUGUGUAUGUGCCUUAAAAUUAAUGUAAAAUUAGUUAUUUCGCAUAUAGGUGAGACUUACCCGGAGGACAAACGUGGUCAAACGAGACUUGGGGGCUACGAUCCUACUACUUACCAGUGAGCGGGCUUUUUUUUUCUAUAUAUAUGUAAAUAUGCUUAUGAAUCCCAUAAACUACUUUAAAUGAACGUAUGUUUUAAAUGCCAUGUCGUGUGCAUUAUGUGUUAGUAUUGCAUUAGUAUAGCUAUGCAUAGUAUUGGAUGAGACUGCGCAGACUCAGGUAAGUUUCAGGUGAGUACAUCAUGAUGGUAUUGGGUGCGUGUGUGUGGUUAUACGUUGAUGCAUUUUGAGCUUAUUAUCCUGCACAUUGGUGUUAGUGUUCUCGCCCAUGGCCAGGGCAUAGUUUUUCACAUGAUGUUCACCUCCUGGGCCGCACGCUCACUUUGGAUCCAAGUUUGGUGCACAGCCAUAUUGCACAGACCACAAUAGGUGGUUCCGACUCGUAGGUGACCUGCAAUUAUUUGCACAGCCUUCACGUGAUCGUAGCACUUAAGCGUACUUAUCUACACCCAGCCCUGUUGUACAGACCACAAUAGGUGGUUCCGACUUAUGUGCAUGCAUACUUGAUGAGCUAUAGAUUCAAUUGUACAGGUUACAUUAGGUGACUCCGGUUGGCAUACUAUUUUAGGUUGAUUCGUAUCACCUGGCUUACACAUUUUAUGGUUGAACAUCUUGACAUGGCAUACCUCUGUUUUCACUGCUCUAAGCAUUAUCCUUAUGUACCUAGUUGUUAUUAUUUUCUGGAAAAUUAUAUGGGUUUACAGUGAGGGGUUAGUAUGUUCAUAAAGACAACUGUGUUUUCAAAAACUUUGUUUUUGCCUACUCACAUUUUUUGUUUUGCACCCUUUCAGGUUCUAGGUAGUUGGUCAUCCUUGGUGGCUCACGAGGACUUUCACGGCGGUUCUGACAUCUCUGUAAAUAAGUAGGGAUUUUUUUCCCUGUUUGUAUAAUUAGUACUUAGUUGGUUCGAUUGCACUUUCGUUUACCCAUGCUCUGAUAUUUGUAUAACUUGCUUGGUCAUCUUUACUCACUUAUAUUAUCUUAGUUUAGAUAAGUUUGGUUUUAGGUUUUUAUUUAUUCGCAUUUCUUUUAUUAUUACUUCUGUUGCGCAUUUUGGCUACGUUACUCUUACGUGACGGGCAUCAUGUUUCGACUUCGGUUGGGGUGUGUCAUAAAAGCCUCUUCAAGUCUUCAUGAUUUGGCUUGCAGAGAUAUGUGGCUCCAUAUGUGGCCUGAAUUGCCCCACAGAAGCGCUCCAGGUUUUUAAUAGCAGUAGUCUCCGCAAGUCGGCAAUACUCAUCAGUUGAGUUUGCAGAGCACUCAUUAGCUAGCAUCCGAAAUGCAGAUGUGAGCUUCUGAUGAGGUGAUAGACUUUGUCGGCCUACGACAUUUAUCUUCCUUGCAAAGUAGUGGUCAUGAUUGACAACUGUGUUCAAGAUGCUUUCAAAAAUCUCUCUCCUCAUUCGAAACCGUCUCCGAAAAUCAUGAGCAGGAAAUCUCGGACGCUCAAUAAAAUAAUAUUUCAUCAUUCGGUCAUGACACUCUUCUCUAUCACGUUGCACAAAUGAACGCUUCGUGACAUAACCACAAUAGCUAGAUUCGACAUGGUGCUCAUAUUGCAUAAGCGAGUUUGGAAGUUUAGCUUAUGCGUUGAUCAUUUUUGAAUCCUCAAUGUCAAGGCUUGCUUGGUAUUAUGUCAUUUGCAUUGCCCUGCUACACCUUCUUCUAUCAUCCAUUGUUGAUAUAUUGAGGAUUUUUAUGAAACAAAAACACUUUGAAAGUUGAAAGAUUAGUGAAUAUAGGGAAUGAUUGAAGGUUGAAAGAUUGUGUGACCAACUGAUAUUGAACAUGUGUUUAUAUAGAGGAUGAUUGAUGAAAGUUGAAAGUUUGGUGAAAGUUGAACGGUUGGUGAAAGUUGAAGAUUUGUGAAAGUUAAAGACUUGCUUUGUGGAAAGAUUUAGUGAUUUUUUCAAUAUUUAUUGGAAUUUAAAUAUUUUUAUAUUAAAAUGUUCAUAAAAUUAAUUUACCAUAGGCUACAUAAUUUUUUUUAAAAGUUAAUUUAAGAAAAAAAAUUAGCCUAAGUUCAUUCUUUAAUAAUCCCGAACUAAAAUUUUAGGCUAGGGUUGGAGCAGAAAAACUGUUUCUGUGUUAAAAGCUAAAUUUUUUAGAUUAAAAAUUUUAAAUUUUAACCCAAAGGUUGGAGAUGAUUUAAGAAUGGAUAAACUUAACCAAGAAAAGAAGAAAAAAGAUGAAGGGCAAAUAAGUGAGAAGCAACAUGACACGACACACGGACGACCAUAGCAAUAAAGCGUGCGUCCUCACGUCCAUUGAAUAUAUAGAUGGGAGCUACAACAUCGUGUUUCACGUGCAUGUGUAUUAUACAUAAAGGCAUAUACAGUGUUAGCUUAUAUAUUAUAAAGUUUGUAGGCCACUUACCCAAUUUGGCAUAUGUUUUAUCUUUUUACGUGAAUAACCAAUGUGUUAUGAUGAUACAAGUCUCUUAACAUAUCCGGAGUUAGAAAUAUCAUAAGACAGUGUUGCGAUCAUAUUGAAAUUAAUUGACAGUUUGUAUUAUAUAUUUGAUUAUUCUUUAUUAACUUAAGGAGACAGCAUACUUAGACCUAAUUUAGUCACAUUCUCCAACCGAAAAUAAAGCGGUGUAGUAUUCAUACACUUUUUUUUAUUUCUUACACAGUCUUAAUUAAUUUCUAUUGUUUGAUCUUCUUCAAUUCAUUCGAUCUGACGACCGAAAAUUAAGAUGGUGUGUGGACGAGUAAAUUAUAACAAUGGUCCCUCAACUUUAAUCAAAUUGGAGCAAGGGUGCUCAACUAAAAAUCCAUUACCAUUGGUUCCUCAACUCAUCAAAAUGUGUAGCUAUGGUCAUUUUCGUCAACUUCGUUACAAUUUUGUCAAAAUAAGUUAUAUUGGAAUGACUAUUGCUACAAUUGGGGUCCCUCAACUCAUCAAAACGUGUAGCUAUGGUCAUUUUCAUCAAUUUCGUUAGAAUUUUAUCAAAAUGAGUUUUGUUGGAAUGACCAUUGCUACAAUUGAAUUAAAGUUGAGGGACUAUUAUUUCAAUUGAGUUAAAGUUGAAAGAUCAUUUCUUCAGUUGUAUUAAAGUUGAAGGAUCAAUGGUAAUGAAUUUUUAGUUGAGGGGACUAUAGCUGCACGUUUUAAUGAGUUGAGAGAACAAUAAUAAUGAAUUUUUAGUUGAAAAACUAUUACUUCAAUUGAGUUAAAAUUAAGAAACAAUUGCUACAAUUUUUUUAUAUGGAAAGUGGAUGAUGUGAAUAGCACAUCCAAAAAUAAAAGGGAACUUUAACGAAAAGCACCCGGUACUGUUCACUUUAACGAAAAACCACAUUUUUACACUAAAAAGUCAAUCCUGGUACUAUUCACUUUACCCUUUAUUUUGUCCUUAUCAUUAAAACUCAAAGUUUUCAAGCCCUUUUCAUUAGUUUUCCUAAAAUAAAAUGCACCACAAUUUGGUAGGAUCUUCCUGUUGAGAGUAAUAAAUUAAUAAUUGCCGAAAUAUUGGAUAAUUUGUCGGCCACAACGCUAUGAGGGAGUAUCUGGGGAUGAAUAUACUCUUGCCGACAGAUGCCCAAAUUCCAACUGCCAUUCAAAUGAGCCCUCCACCACCACCGGCCAUAAUAAAUUCUCUUUCUUUAGUGAAGAAGAAAAAGAGGUACUUGGCCCUCACCUCAACUUUUUGAGAAAGAACAAGUUUAUCGCUAUCAGAAUGUUUCGGUCAAUUAUAUAAGUUAUGUGUAAAUUUUUCUUUAGAUAACAUUACAUUAUUAUAUUUAAAAUGUUCCGUAACGAUAAAUUUGUUUCAUACAAAUUAUUCUCCAACUUCUUGGAUUUUUCUCCUUUUUCCCGAAAACCAGCUUAUAUUAGUGUUCAUCCUCUGUCAAUAUCACUCGCCCACAACUAUUCAACUAACUUUUAAUAAUUUGACAACGUGUCAUAUUUUUGUGCAAAGCGGGCCCAUUUUUGUGGGUGAUAUAAUAAUGGCGUAUGUGGUUUGUCAAGACAUAUACUCAUUUAUCCAUUAGCAGUUAGGUAAGUCACCUCACUCACCCACAGCCUAACACAUCAACAAAUAUUGCUUACAAAUUCUAGAAAAUUCGACCAAGAAAAAAAACCAAAUGCUCGCAAAUUAAAAUUGUGUAACAUGAUUAGUUUUUUAUCCAUUAGUAUUAAUUUUACGUUGGAAGAAAUUCCAAAUUUAUUCUUGUAAAGAGGGAUAUGAAAAUACUUUGUAUGUCUAUCACCAAAAUCUUCGAAUGUUUGAAUGGUUGAUUUUCAAGUCUCACACAAUUGGAUUUAGUUCAAGUGAGAAAGAAAUACACUCAAACUAUUAGAUAUGAGGAAUGAAAAUACACUACAAAAUCUUGUGAACAUUUCUAAUAUUCUCUUCUAUCUACUUUUUGUGAACCAAGUUUUUAUUUGUUUUUUUUUUUAACAAAAGAUAUUUUUUAUACUAGGGAAAUAAGGUGGGUUUAGCCUCAUAAUGGGCUAACAUAAUCUAGUUCAAACUUGCAUUUGGUGAGAAUCGAACCUAAAAUCUCUCACUUACAAGUGAAGAGGAAUACCAUUAGAAGUGUCAUGAAAUUAGCAGUCUUAUAUGUAAAAAAUUGAUUGACUAAAUGCUGUGUUAAAAAACAAGAUUAAUACUUGCAUCUCCCCACUUGGAAAAUGCAAAUAUUUCAUUUCUUGCAAAUAACGUAUAUCAUGCGUUCUGUUCAAUCGCAUAUUCAAAAAUGUUAAAAACAAGAUUAAUAUUUCUAUCUCCCCACUUGGAAAAUGCAGUAUUUCAUUUUUUACGAAUAACGUAUAUCCUGUGUUCCGUCCAAUCGCGUAUUAAAAAAAUGUGUGAAGUUUGGAUUAACUACACUCUUUGAGAAUUUCCUUAAAUAACCACUUUUUGAAAAUUUCUUAUAGGACUAAGUGAGUCUCCGCUGAGAAUUUCCUUAACUAACACAACACUACUUGAGUGAUAAUUUGUUAUAUCUUGAAUAGAGAAUAAAUCAGUUCCCUACUUUUGAAGGUACUAUUAACUUACACUAUAUUUGAAUGAGAACAAUAAACUUAGAAUUUAGAUGAAGGAAAUAAAACAGUUUCCUACUUUUGAAGGUACUACUCGAGUGAUAAUUUGUUAUAUCUUGAUAACGUGUCAUAUUUUUUUGCUAAGCGGACCCAUUUUUGUGGGGUGGUAUAAUAAUGGCGUUUGUUGUUUGUCAAGGGCAUAUACCCAUUUAUCCAUUAGCAGUUAGGUCACCUCACUCACCCACAACCUAGUACAUCAACAAAUAUUGCUUACAAAUUCUAGAAAAUUCAACCAAGAGAAAGAAAACCAAAUGCUCGCAAAUUAAUCUGUGUAACAUUAGUUUUUAUCCAUUAGUAUUUAUUUUACAUUGGAAGAAAUUCCAAAUUUAAUCUCGUAAAGAGGGAUAUGAAAAUACUUUGUAUAUCUAUUAUCAAAAUCUUUGAAUGUUUGAAUGAUUGAUCAUCAAGUCUCACACGAUUGAAUUUAGUUCAAGUGAGGAAGAAAUACACACAAACUAUUAUAUAUGAGGAUUGAAAAAUACACUACAAAAUCUUGUGAUAACAUUUCUAAUAUUCCUUUCUAUCUACAUUUUGUGAUAAGUUUUUUUUUUCCUUUUUUGAACAAACUAUAUUUAUCUACAUUAAGGGAGAGGAGGUGAUCUUAGCCUCACAAUGGGCUAGCAUAAUGUGGUUCAAAUUCGCCUUUGGCGAUAAUCGAACCUAAAACUUAUCAUUUACAAGUAAAUAGGAAUACCACUAGAUGGAUCAUGAAAUUAGCAGUCUUAUAGGUAAAAAAAAAUUGAUCGACUAAAUGAUGUGUUAAAAAACAAGAUUAAUACUUGCAUCUCUCCACUUGAAAAAUGUAGAUAUUUCUGUGAACACGGAAAAUUCCUGAAACGAAAGAGACAAGAACAACGUGCACAAAAUAAUAUUUUGGUGUUAAUGGAUUUGUUGGGUUACGAUCUCUUUUAACUUGAUCCUCUGAUUCGAUCUCCGUAAGGUGUUGAUUUAUGGAUGUUUCGUUGAUCCAAGGGCUGUUGAGGCUUGAUCUUAGAUGAACUGUUGGAAGUUUCUUCAAGGGGCCGUGGGCUUGAUCUUUGAAGGUGGAUUUGAGCGGAUCUUCAAGGAGCCGUUGGGGCUUGAUCUUGAGGAUGAGUGUUUCUUCAAGGGCCGUUAAGGCUUGAUCUUGAAUAACGGUGAUGAACGGAUCUUCAAGGGCUUUUGGGCUUGAUCUUGAAGAACGGUUGGAUGUGUGGAUUUGUUGAUGUUGUUGAUCCAAGGGCCGUCGGAGCUUGAUCUUGGAAGAACGAUGAACGAAGAACGAAGAACACUUUCUUCAAAGGCCGUCGGGGCUUGAUCUUGAAUUGGUGAUUGUUGAUCCAAGGGCCGUCGGGGCUUGAUCUUGGAAGAACGAUGAACGAAGAACGAAGAACACUUUCUUCAAGGGCUGUCGGGGCUUGAUCUUGAAUUGGUGAUUGUUAAUCCAAGGGCCGUCGGGGCUUGAUCUUGAUUCUUCGGGAUGAACGGAUGAUGAACAAUGAACACUUUCUUCAAGGGCCGUCGGGGCUUGAUCUUGAAUUGGUGGAAGUUCUUCAAGGGCCUUUGGGGCUUGAUCUUGAAGGUGGAUGAUUGUUGAUCCAAGGGCCGUCGGGGCUUGAUCUUGGGAUGAACAGUUGUGUGGAUUUGUUGAACACUUUCUUCAAGGGCCGUCGAUGCUUGAUCUUGAAUUGGUGGAAGUUCUUCAAGGGCCGUUGGGGCUUGAUCUUGAAGGAGGAUUUGACGAAGAACGAAGAGGGCUUUCUUGAUCCUUCGGGAUUUGCUUGAAUUUGGGAGGUUGGAUGCUUGAAAGCUUUAGAGUUUCAAAGCUUCAAGGAUUUUGGAUGUGUGGGGAGUAUUCUCUUCCAUUUUGGGAGUAGAGAAAUGUAUUUGUGAAUUGGUUUUUGAUACCUUGAUGUAGAAGCCUAUUUAUAGGCUUUGAGAAUGAAUCACCACCACAAAAUAUUUUUUUUCUUUUCCAAGCACCAUUGCCUAAUUUCCCACUUAAUACAAUUUUAAACUUGAAGUGGUAAUUUUAUGGCCUAAUUUUCCACUUAAUAUCAUUUUAAACUUGAUAUGUGCAUGCUUUGUCAUUGCCCAAAAUGAGAAGAAAACCUUGUUUUGAUCUUCAAUGAAUUGAAAUGUGCUUGCCUUGUCAUUGCCCAAAAUGAGAAGAAAAACUUGUGUAAUCCUUCAAGGGUAUUUCUUUUUAUUUUGUUGAGUCGCACACCAUGUGUACAAUUUGUAUGACACGUGGCAUAUGCCAUGUACGCCUUGACACGUCAAAAUUUUAAUGCGUUGGUGAACAUUUAUUUCACCGCAAUUUCGGUGUCUACAAAUGCCCCCACUUCAAGGUGCGUCGUAUACAUGUGCUUGUCACGUGUAGGAGAUGCGUUUUGAAGUCCCUUACUGUAGAUGUCAAUCCAAUGGCCAUCGAGGCUUGAUCUUGAAUUGGGCUGGAGAUUUCUUCAAGGGCCGUUGAGGCUUGUUCUUGGACUUUGUUUGAAAUUUCUUCAAGGGCCAUCGAGGCUUGAUCUUGAAGGUUGAAAUUGGACCACAAGGAGCUUCAUGUGGUAGAUGAUCUUUGGCUUUGGUAGUGGAUGAAUCGGCACGUAUUUGUUUUUGCGCUUUGUUGACUUUCCACAGCUUUGAUCUUGAACUGGGUUGGAGGAUUUUUUGGAUUCCUCCAAUUGUUGAUUUUCCACAGUUUAUUCUUGAACUGGAUUUGAUUCAAAUAUGGUGGACGCUUGAUCUUGAAUCGGACUUGUGAUUUCCUCAAGGGCCGUCGAGGCUUGAUCUUGAAUUUGGCCGGAAACUUCUUCAAGGGCCGUUGAGGCUUGAUUCUUGAAGGUUGACUCGAACACAUGGCAAGCAGGCACGAGGUGAAGGUGACGACUUGUUGCUUUGUUCAAUCUUUCUAAUUCACACCUGAGCAGUUUGGUCAACGGUAUGAUCUUCAAGAUUGAUGGGCUCUUCUUCCAGUUGGUGAUUUGAUCUUUAAGGAUUUGAUUCAAGGGUGGUGAAACGGCACAUGCAGCCCACAACGCCUAGCAAGUCGACCCAAGAAUUUGAGGGUUAAAACGAGUCCUCCACCCAGAGUGAUUGCAAACCUGAUGAUAUGAGAUACUUUUGAUUUUGAAGAAGUAGCGGAUGAAUCGGCACGUGCUUUGUUGUGCUUGUCUCCACAUGCUUCAAUGUAUCAUUUUCCCUUGUCUUAUCUAUUCUUCUAGCAGAAUGUAGCAUCUUCUUAAGUUCUUCAACUCAGACUCCUUCUGCUGAGCUGACUGUGCAGGCUGCAUUAUUCUCUGCUUGUUUCUUUAGGCAGAUGUGGCAGCUUCUUGAGUUCCUCAGCUCGGACUCCUUCUGCUGAGCUGAUUGUGAAGACUGCAUUCUUAUCUGCUUGUUUCUUCUGUACGUUGUCUCCACAUGCUGCAAGGUAUCAUUUUCAAUUGCCUUAUUUGUUUUCCAGGCAAAUGUGGCAUCCGAGUUUGAGUGGAGGUUCUGGCAUAUUGUUUUCUUUAUCCUUGUCUUUGUAGGUAAGAACAAGGACAAAGGAAAGGACAGGGAGAACGCAUGAUAUGAUAUACUCUUGCUUUCUACCCUGGUGAUAUGAGAUACUUUUGCUUUGGUGUCAUUUGUUUGCAGAGGUACCCCAAGGAAUAAGAAACACUGAGUGACUCGAGAGGCUUUGUUGGGAAGGCAUUCUAGGAGAUGAAGAAAGGUUCUUGGAGAUGAAGAAAGGUUCUCGGAGAUGAAGAAAGGUUAUGUAUGUCUGCCUUGCUAUGGAGGGUAAAGGUGGACAGUUAUAGGAAAUUCUUUAGUACCUGUAGAGGUACUAUUCUUUUACUCGUGUCGGCAACCAAUGUGUGAUUGAUCAGUAUGGCUUCACGUGUUUUCUUCUUUAUCAGAAAUCUUCGACAAAUUGUCCGUAAUUUUCGUCAAGCUGAGUGUGCAUGUGACAGGUGUUGACGAGGCUGAAAAAGACUGGUGCCUCUUCGAUAUCUGGGAUCGGCGCUUCGACAAAUUGCCCGUGAUUUCCGCAAAGCUGAGUUUGCGCGUGACGGGUGCUGACGAGGCUGAAAAAGACUGGCGCCUCUUCGAUAUCUGGGAUUGGCGCUUUAACAAAUUGCCCAUGAUUUCUGCAAAGCUGAGUUUGCACGUGACGGGUGCUAACGCGUCUGGAAAAGCAAGAUGCUUCUCCGAUUUCUGAGCUUGCCUCUUUGAUUUUUGAAUUGGCCUCUUCGAAUUCUGAGCUCGCCUCUUCGAUCUUUGAAAUCCCAUCGAGUGUUGAUCUUUAUAGAGGCACGCAGUUCGUUUCAAAGCACACUUGAAUUUUCGCUUGUAGAAACUCCCUUCUUGCACUUCUAAGAUCUUGAUUUGUCCGACCUCUUCUUUCUUCAACACCUUUGAAAAUGUCUGGACCCUCCGACCGUCAUUUUGAUUUGAACCUUGGUGAAGAGGUAGUCCCGUCUUCUCCAGAUAACAUAUGACGCCCAUCUUUCAUAUCCCCUACUGGUCCUCUUACCGUUGGGGAUUCGGUGGUGAAGAAUGAUAUGACCGCUGCGGUGGUGGCCCGAAACCUUGUCACUCCCAGAGAUAACAGACUACUUUCCAAACGGUCUGAUGAGUUGGCUGUUAAGGAUUCUCUGGCUCUCAGUGUGCAGUGUGCAGGUUCUGUGUCUAAUAUGGCCCAACGCCUAUUUGCUCGAACCCGUCAAGUUGAAUCAUUGGCGGCUGAAGUGAUGAGUCUCAAACAGGAGAUAUUAGAGGGCUCAAGCAGAGAGAUAAACAGUUGCAUAAGCUCGCACAUAGCUAUGCGACAAACAUGAAGAGGAAGAUUAACCAGAUGCAGGAAUCUGAUGGUCAGAUUUUACUUGAUCAUCAGAGGUUUGUGGGUUUGUUCCAGCAGCAUUUGCCUUCGUCUUCUGGGGCUGUACCGCGUAAUGAAGCUCCAAAUGAUCAACCCUUGGCUCCUCUUCUUCCUGGAGUUCCGCCGAGUGGUGUGGCUUCAAACAGUCAACCUCCGACGCCUCUCAUUUCUGGAGCUCUGCUGAGUGGUGAGGUGGCACCUAAUCGUCCUUGAAGAUCCCCUCUUGUAAAUUUGAUUUGAUUUUUUUUUAAGUAUGUAUAAUGCAAAUUUAUGUAAAAUUUCCAGAAAAAAUAAAUAAAAACGGACUUUAUUUCUCUCAAUGCAUUUGUUUUGUUUUGUUUUUGUUUUUUUUGUUUUUUUGUUUUUGUUUUUUUUGUAAAUACAUAAUAACAUAUGUAUUUAUUUAUUUAUUCUUUUGUAAUAAAAUUGACUUUCUUUAAUAAAACUUUUAUAUUUUUCUUAUUUAUUUUGAUAUGACUGAACUCGAAAUUGAAUGUUCGAGCCGCCUACGUACCCUUCCAAAGAAGAGAUCAAGCCAUAACGUAGUUCAAAUGAGUGAUGAAUUUAAUAGUGAUUUUGAUGAUGAUUUUGCCGUACACAGUUUAUGCUCUUGUGGGCCAGGAGCUUUGGUGUUGCCUUUUAUGCUCGUGCAGACCAGGAGCGUUGAUGUCGCCUUUUAUGCUCGUGUGGGUCAGGAGCGUUGAUGUUGCCUUUUAUGCUCGUGCAGACCAGGAGCUUUGUGCCAUGCAGUUUAGACUCGUGCGGGCAAGGAGCUUUGGUUCGUGCAGUUUAGGCUCAUGCGAACAAGGAGCAUUGGUUCGUGCAGUUUAGGCUCGUGCGAACAAGGAGCAUUGGUGUUGCCUUUUAUGCUCGUGCAGACCAGGAGCUUUGUGCUAUGCAGUUUAGACUCGUGCGGGUGAGGAGAAUUUGUGAAUUUUGUCAAGCACUUUUGGAGAGGCGUUCCUUACAAUCUUCAUAGCAAGGAGCCUUGACCGAGUGAUUGAAGAAGUCUUCGGGAAAGAAGUCGCACAUCGUGAUGGCAACAGACGAUCUUUGUGUCGUAAUUUCAUCAUCUUCAACACGUUCACGUUGCUUUGAAGGUUGACAAGAGCUGCUUUGCCCCCUUUCCGAUUGGCGGACUUGUGGAGGAGACGUAUGCUUCUUGUGCCAUUUCUUAGGAGUGACUUGAGUCCAUCCUUCAAGUUUGCUUGUUUUGGAGGAUGCCCCCGGCGGUUGAGGUGAAAAUUUUGUGUUGAAAGAGCCAGAAGUGAUGGUGGUAUAGUUUGACUUCACCACAUCGUCAAGAUCUAGCUCGAUGAUUCCUUUCUGAGCCCACUUUAUGAUGAGAUCUUUCAGCACAAAGCACUUUUCUGUCGGAUGACUGAUGAAGCGGUGGAAUUUACAGUAUCUUGGACUGUUGGUACGAUUCAUCUCUUCCGGCCAUCUGCACUCAGGCAAACUGAUCACCUUCUUGUCCAACAGGUCAUCCAACAUGGCAACCACAUCAGAGUCAGGGAAUGGAUAAGUCUUCUCUUUAAGCUCCUUCAAAGUGCGUCUACGCAUCUCUUGAUCACGAAAAGCUUCGGUUUGAAUCGUUUUGCCUCGUGUGGAGAUUUUGACGGGAGAUGUGUUGACUGUCAUUGCUUCCUUGGUGGAUUUCCACGUAGCCUUCUCCACCUUUGUCUCAAGAAUUUUGUCGUUCUUGUAGUCGGCGAUCGGUUCCUUCUUCCCAUGAUGGGUGAUGCUCAACUCCAUGUCAUGGGCGUGGGUGGCCAAUUCCUCGAAGGUCCGUGGUUUAAUGCCUUGAAGGAUGUAUUGCAAACCUCAUUGCAUGCCUUGGAUGCACAUCUCGAUUGAAGAGGUCUCCGAGAGCCUAUCUUUGCAGUCGAGGCUUAGAGUGCGCCAUCUGUUGAUGUAGUCAAUGACCGGCUCAUCUUUCCAUUGCUUCAUACUUGUGAGCUCCAACAUGCUUACAGUGCGGCGGGUGUUGUAGAAGCGGUUGAGGAAUUCCCGCUCCAAUUGCUCCCAGCUGUUGAUGGACUCAGGCUCUAGGUCCGUGUACCACUCAAAUGCGUUUCUUUUCAGCGAGCGCAUAAACUGCUUGGCGAAGUAGUCCCCCUCCGUCCCCGCGUUGUUGCAAGUUUUGACGAAAUGUGCAACGUGCUGCUUUGGGUUUCCUUUUCCAUCAAACUGCAUGAACUUUGGUGGUUGAUAUCCCAUCGGCAUCUUUAGGGCAUCAAUCUUCUUUGAAUAAGGCUUUGAGUACAACCCGGAGGUAUUUGAGCUCCCUUCGUACUAUGCCUUGACGGUGCUGGCAAUCAUCUCUUGCAACUGUUGGAUAGAAAGAGAUCCCAUGAGUGCCGCUUCUUGGUCUGGCUCCGGCUUCACAUCGAUUUUCUCCACCGUAGGCUCAUCUUCUGGGUUAGGGUUCUCGCUGUCCUGUGGCUCCAGUUGACUGAUGAGUGCAGCGAUUUGCAAGUCUUUUUCUUCCACAGUUCGGGUUAGCCUUGCGAUUGCUUCAUUCAUUUGAGCCAGUUGUUCUUCGAUGGAGGUAACGCCGAUGGUCAUGACUUGUGCAACCAAUAGACGUGACUUUCCUUUAGACAUCCAAGAUGCUGAAGAAGAACGUCAUUGGUUGUUUUGGGAUGUCAUCUUGUGUGCCUCAGCAACAUGCUUUGGUGCCCCCAGCGAGGUCAGGUUGAUGACAGACUCACACCUUUGAUGCUCCCUUUGCUCUUUUAGCGGCACCAACUUUGAAGUGGCAUGUUAAGGAGCGGUUGUGGUGCUAAUGGAUUGUCCAUUUGCGGCAGAAGUGCUUAGGAUCCUUCCCUCAGUGAUUGCGAGAACGGCUUGUCCCUUGCUUGAUGCCAUUGAUUUUGAGGUGUGUUUGGAUUCCUUAAACGGAGAAAGAUAUGAGAGGUAGAGAUUGUCCCACCGGGCGUGCCAAUUUGUGAACACGAAAAUUUCCUGAAACGAAAGAGACAAGAACAACGUGCACAAAAUAAUAUUUUGGUGUUAAUGGAUUUGUUGGGUUACGAUCUCUUUUAACUUGAUCCUCUGAUUCGAUCUCCGUAAGGUGUUGAUUUAUGGAUGUUUCGUUGAUCUAAGGGCCGUCGAGGCUUGAUCUUGGAUGAACUGUUGGAAGUUUCUUCAAGGGGCCGUGGGCUUGAUCUUUGAAGGUGGAUUUGAGCGGAUCUUCAAGGAGCCGUUGGGGCUUGAUCUUGAGGAUGAGUGUUUCUUCAAGGGCCGUUAAGGCUUGAUCUUGAAUAACGGUGAUGAACGGAUCUUCAAGGGCUUUUGGGCUUGAUCUUGAAGAACGGUUGGAUGUGUGGAUUUGUUGAUGUUGUUGAUCCAAGGGCCGUCGGGGCUUGAUCUUGGAAGAACGAUGAACGAAGAACGAAGAACACUUUCUUCAAAGGCCGUCGGGGCUUGAUCUUGAAUUGGUGAUUGUUGAUCCAAGGGCCGUCGGGGCUUGAUCUUGGAAGAACGGUGAACGAAGAAUGAAGAACGAAGAACACUUUCUUCAAGGGCCGUCGGGGCUUGAUCUUGAAUUGGUGAUUGUUAAUCAAAGGGCCGUCGGGGCUUGAUCUUGGAAGAACGAUGAACGAAGAACGAAGAAGGCUUUCUUGAUUCUUCGGGAUGAACGGAUGAUGAACAAUGAACACUUUCUUCAAGGGCCAUCGGGGCUUGAUCUUGAAUUGGUGGAAGUUCUUCAGGGCCUUUGGGGCUUGAUCUUGAAGGUGGAUGAUUGUUGAUCCAAGGGCCGUCGGGGCUUGAUCUUGGGAUGAACAGUUGUGUGGAUUUGUUGAACACUUUCUUCAAGGGCCGUCGAUGCUUGAUCUUGAAUUGGUGGAAGUUCGUCAAGGGCCGUUGGGGCUUGAUCUUGAAGAAGGAUUUGACGAAGAACGAAGAGAGCUUUCUUGAUCCUUCGGAAUUUGCUUGAAUUUGGGAGGUUGGAUGCUUGAAAGCUUUAGAGUUUCAAAGCUUCAAGGAUUUUGGAUGUGUGGGGAGUAUUCUCUUACAUUUUGGGAGUAGAGAAAUGUAUUUGUGAAUUGGUUUUUGAUACCUUGAUGUAGAAGCCUAUUUAUAGGCUUUGAGAAUGAAUCACCACCACAAAAUAUUUUUUUCUUUUCCAAGCACCAUUGCCUAAUUUCCCACUUAAUACAAUUUUAAACUUGAAGUGGUAAUUUUAUGGCCUAAUUUUCCACUUAAUAUCAUUUUAAACUUGAUAUGUGCAUGCUUUGUCAUUGCCCAAAAUGAGAAGAAAACCUUGUUUUGAUCUUCAAUGGAUUGAAAUGUGCUUUGCCUUGUCAUUGCCCAAAAUGAGAAGAAAAACUUGUGUAAUCCUCCAAGGGUAUUUCUUUUUAUUUUGUUGAGUCACACACCAUGUGUACAAUUUGUAUGACACGUGGCAUAUGCCAUAUAUGCCUUGACACGUCAAAAUUUUAAUGCGUUGGUGAACAUUUAUUUCACCGCAAUUUCGAUGUCUACAAUUUCAUUUCUUGUGAAUAAUGUUUAUCCUGUGUUCUGUCCAAUCGCGUAUUAAAAAAUGUGUGAAGUUUGGAUUAACCACACUCUUUUAGAAUUUCCUUUAUUUACCACUUUUUGAGAAUUUCCAAUAAGACUGGGUGAGUCUCCGCUGAGAAUUUCCUCAACUAACACCACACUACUUGAGGGAUAAUUUGUUAUAUCUUUGAAUAAAGAAUAAAACAGUUUCCUACUUUUGAAGGUACUAUUAACUUACACUAUAUUUGGAUGAAGGUCAAACUUUAUAAAUUGACAUACACCAAAUUCUUUGUUUGGAUUCAUAAACAUAUAAAUUUAGAAUUUCCGCGUGGAAAAAAAAAAUACUUAGAAUUUGAGACCUCCAAUUCUCAAAUUGAAAGUUUAAAAAUAAUAAAUUCCGUAUUCAAUUCAAUUGUUCUUUUAGGUUAACCAAAUAAGAAAAUUCACAAAUUCUAAAAUAUAAAAUCUCAUCAUUUCAAUUUCCGUCAUUUUAAAAUUCCUUAGUAAUAUUAAAUUUCUUCAUCCAAACAUAGUGUUAAGAAAUUUUUUAAAGAUACACUAUUUACACUCAUUUUUAUUUCUUACACAUUUAUUAACUUUGUCCAUUGAUUUCUUCAAUUCAUUUUGCCAGUUAUACAAAAAUUGAGAACAGUAUUUAUGAAUUAAAAAUACAUUUGUAGAUGUCACUACCAAAUUUUUAUUCCUAAUUCAAGAAAAUCUUAUCCAUAUAUGAUUGCCCUUGCCCACUUUAAAUGGGUGCCAUCACUUUACGAUAGAGCAAUCCUAACCGUCCACCUAGGUAAGCAUAACUGGCGAUGCAUGUCGCAAGGGGACCGCAUUGCACAAUAUAAUUAUACUAGUUGAUAAGACAAGUGAUGUCAAUCAAUAAAUUAUUUCAUUAAAACUUAGUUGUAUGUAUCAUAUGUUGUAAUGUAGGGUGUAUGAUAUGCUGACGCUGUAAAAAAAUGUAACCUUUUUAAUAUUACUCAUAAUAGUAAGACUUACCAGUAUUAGGAUGUUAUCAGUGGAAUGAGAAUCCUCUCCAGAUCUUUUUUGUGAGCUAUUAUUUGUAUUUAAUUUUAAAUAUAAAAAAUUAAAAUAAUUUAUGACGGCAGUGAUUCACAUGAUCUUCACAAAGAGAAUCCAAAUAAUCUUAAUUUAUAUCAGUGUGUCUAGAUAACAUGAUCGAGCCCCUUUACUUUUACCCUAUUUAGUAUUUUACAUUUGAACCUGUAAAUAUUCGAUUUUUCUUUGGUGCAACCGAGCACCAAAUAUAGAUUUUUUUUCACUUUUAUAUAAUGAUAAAUAAAGGGCAAUUGGCAGAUUUGAAUUCCAUUCGGAUUGGUCAAAAAUCAUUUUAAAUUGUUUUAUUUAAAAUUAAACACAUAUAGUACUUAAUAAAAAUUAGUCGUACAAUAUACGAUAAACAGAUAUAAUGUAAGGACCUUUAUGAUCUUCACAAAAAAGAUCCAAAGGUUGUGUAGCUGUUUCAAAAGGAUAAUACUCACUUUUGAUUAGUUCAAUGAAAUUUUAAACAUGUUUUAUUGUUUUAAAAAAUAAUAAACAUAUUUAUUAAUGUUUGUUUUACUUUAAAAAAUAAGCAGCACUUGACAACAUUUGAUUGUGCUAAAUAAAAAAUGAGUGACCACUUAGUACUACAGUCUUAUGAUAUUUUUCUUCAUUUGAAAGUGAGAGGUUUUAAGUUCGAAUCUCGUGGAUGACGAAUUUGAUAUCAAAUUAGAUUGCUCACUAUGUGGCUUAGCCGAACUCUCAUUUCCUUUAAUGUAAAAAUAUUGAUGUAUUCAAAAAAAUAAAAAGUGACUAUAGAGGACACUCAAUCUCAGCUGUAUGAUUAAAUCAGACGGUAAGAAAAAUUCUGCAAGCAUACUCGGUUACAUUAAUUGAAGAAAAAAUGGGUAAAUAUUGGGCACCAACGUUAUAAAUACCCUCCACCAUGCACCCAACUCCCUCACACCAUCACAACCCACGUUACAAAUCCUCCUCCUCAUCAUAACCAUUCUGUUUUCCGCAUAAUAUCCAAAAACCUAUCAUGUCUGAAGAGAAACACCACCGCGGUCUCUUCCACCACCACAAGGAUGAAGACAAACCCUCAGACUACCCUCAGUCUGGCUACUCUGAUGAAGGACGUCCCGGCGGCCUCGGUGGUGGUUACGGCGACACCAAUGAUUAUUCUGGUGAAGGACGUACCGGCGGCCUAGGUGGUGGCUAUGGCGACACCAAUGCUUAUUCUGGUGAAGGACGUCCCGGCGGCUAUGGCGGCUAUAACGAGACCACUGCUUACUCUGAGGAAAGAGUUGAAAGACCCGGCGGUGGCCGGUACAGUGAGACUACUGCGGCAUAUGGCAGCACCACCACUCAUGAAUCUGAACUUGAUUACAAGAAGGAGGAGAAGCACCACAAGCAUCUCGAGCACCUCGGCGAGGCCGGUGUAGCUGCUGCCGGCGCUUUUGCCUUGGUACGUAUUGUAUUUUAACCCACCUCUAUAUAUAUAUAUAUUAGAAUAAUGCUAAUAAGACCAAAUUUUGAAAACUAAAUGAUGUGGUUGUUGAUAAUGAACUUAUUACUCAAGUCUUGAUUAACAUGCUUAUUUUCUAAUAGUGACACAUUAUUUGGUUUAGAAAUUUGGUCUUCCUAACUUUAUCAUUCUCAAAAUUUUCAUGAUUUUGAUAGGGUAAUACGGGAGAUCAAAAUUUCUAAACCAAAUUUGCAAACCAAUAGAUGAUUGGAUUAUUAAUUAAGUAUCGAUUGUUUGUUUCUUAUUAACGACAUAUCAUUUGAUUUACAAUUUAGUUAAAAAAAAUUUAUUCUUUCUGUCAUAUCCUUUUGAAUAUUUGAUCACUUUACUCUUUAUCACUUUACCCUUGAUCACUUUACCCAUACUCUUGCAACCGAAUCACCGUCCUCCUCCUUAACCUUCAUUUUUUUGUCUUACAGUACUCCAAUCUAUCAACUCUGUCCAUUGCAACUUUAAUUGUGAAGAAAAUUAAAGUCCUAUCGUAAAAUUAAUUAGUGAUAUGGAGAGUUGCGCAAUUAUUGAUGGACUAGGUAGGUAAGAUACGGAAUCAAAGUCUACCAUUAACAAUGGACGGAAUUGAUGAACCAUAUAGGUAUGUAAGAUACGGAAUCAAAGUCCUCAUGUAAAUGGUACAGUUGCAAUCAGGAGAAGAAAUGAGUUAACUGAUACCUUCGUAAUAGUUCAUGUAGAGUUUUGAUAUUAUUAAGCCUUAACCACCUGAUCUUAUAUAUACGAGGACAAAUCUAAUCAAAUAUGUGUUAAUUUCAAGGUUUGUUUUACAUUGAUGUGAGAUCGAUGCUAGCAAGAUAUAUAACUUAUGUCAGUUUCUAUAUGAUGUGUGUAGCAUGAGAAGCACAAUGAAAAGAAAGACCCAGAGCAUGCCCACAGGCACAAGAUAGAAGAGGAGAUUGCUGCAGCAGCUGCAGUUGGUUCGGGUGGAUUUGCCUUCCAUGAGCAUCAUGAGAAGAAAGAGACAAAGGAAGAAGAGGAAGAGGCUUAUGGAAAGAAGAAGCACCACCACUUCUAGAUCUAUGUGGAUUGUGGAACAUCAUCUUUUGACUACAUAUGCAAUGUUGUGUUUUUACUAGUUAUCAUGUGGUGUGAUCAGUGAGAGUGUGAUGCUUAAUCUCAACAAUAUCGCUACAAUAGUUGAGUGGUUAAAUGUCCUUUUCAAUUAAUGGGUGCUAUCUGGUUUUCUUUUAGCAUGCCAUCUAUGUAUGUAUGUAUGUAUGUAUGUCAUUGUUAUUGUUCAUAAUAAUACUGUUUACUCGGUGUUUAUUUCCUAGUGGCCACAUCUCAUUUUAAAUGAUUUCUUCAUACCAUUAAUUUUUUAAAUGUAAAGACUCAGUAUCCAUAUAACUACGAAAAUUUUUGACAAAACAAAAACAAGAAAAAAGAAAAGGAAAAAAUGGCUUAGCAAGUUUGUAUCCUAUAAGACAAAUGGGUACGUGGAACGAUGGACAUCUCACAAUGGUUUUUGAAUCGUCGGAUCAUCAUGGUUGGACUAUAUAAUUAUCAUUGAUAUAAUAUAAAUUUUGAUUUUUUUUUAGGAAAUUAAUAUCUGAAAACAAUAUUGAUGUACUGCAUUUGUUUUGGACGAUAUUAUACUUUAAUCCAAAUUUUGAGAAAAAAAAAACAUAUCGAACUCAGGUGUACAAGAGUGGCUUUGCUACCCAUGUACAGGGCUAGUUCUGAGUUUUUGGGUGCCCAGUGCGAAAGCUCAAAAUGUGACAUUUUUUAAUACGAAAACAUAUAUUAAAAAAAAUAUUUAAUGAGGGCUGGAACCCAGUCGAAGCUGGAGGGCUAGGACCUCACGCCCAAAUUAUAUUACUUGAGAAAAUAUACAACUGAGGAGGGGACAUGGUACCUAAACCCCGACAAUCAAAAGUACAAUCAUAUACAACCACUCCUAGCAAAUCUCCUUCAAAUUUCAACCUUUAAGAAAUUGUCUUCUGGCAUUUUUUGAAGCAAAAUCAUCAAUUAUAUCAUCAUACUCCAAGUCUUCAAUCUCAUCAUUUUCAAUGCAUAAGAUUGCUAAUCCAUUUAGCCUAUCUUGAGUCAUAGUGGUCCGCAAGUAAGAUUUUAAUAAUUUCAAUUUUGAAAAACUUCUUUUUGCAGAUGCCAUGGUCACAAGUACAGUUAACAGUACACGAUAAGCAAUCAAGACAUUAGGACACAUGUCAGUUUCUUUUACAAAAUUUGCUAUUUCCAUGGAUGUCCAAGGGUUAUUAGAGAGAAAUGCUUCUUCAGGUAAUAUCAUUUGCAAAACCUGCAAUUCGGAAUAUAAGUCAACUCCAUCUACAUCCAUGGUAUUUCCAUGUUUCAAAUGUGCUUCAAGAUUCAUACAAUUUUCUUUUAGCUCUUGAUCAUCCAAUGAAAUUAACUUUGGUGCAUCAAACAAGAAGCCAAAAAUAGAUUCAAAGGAUUUUAACUGUUCAAACUUGUGUUUCAGUUGAGAAAGAGCAAUAUCCACUAUAACAAGAAAAUAAUAUUUCCUAAAUGAUUCUUUAGCAGAUUAUUGUUCCCUCUCAUUACCAUCAACUUCAUCAUGAUGUCUUUUUCUAGGUCUAUGACAUUUAGUUUGAAAAAACAGGGUCAAUUUCCAAAUCAAGUGCAAUUUCAUUAGCAUCACUCAUGGCGGAAGCAAAACCAGUUUCUCUGUAGUUUCCAAAAAAUGUAACAAAUGCUUCAAAUGCCUUUACAGCAACAUCAAGACGCAUGUCUUUAGAUUGUAAUUUUAUGCUCACCAUGUUAAUCUUCAACAAAAUGUCAUACUAAAUAACCAAACUUAAUACAAAAUCAAAACUUGAAAGUUCGCCUGAUGCUAAACAUCUUGCAUCCCUACUUAAUUGAGGAUUUUCAGUAAUUUCCACCAAUUAAACAAAGCAUUUCUAACCUGGGCUACUUGAGACUUAAUUGCUUUAACAUUUUCAAUGUGACUUUCCCAUCGAGUAGUUGACAAUGACUUCAAAGUUAAACCAUCAAUAUGUUCAACCAAAAUAUUCCAACGCUUUGUAGAGUUGGAAAACACCAUAUAUAUGCAUUGACAUGCUCUAAAAAAAGAUUUUGCUUUAAGACAUGAACUUGCCAUAUCACAAACUAUUAAAUUAAGCUAAUGAAAACCACAUGGCAUGUAAAAGGCUAUGGGAUUUAUGUCUAACAAUCUUUUCUGGACAACUUGGUGUUUCCCUCUCAUGUUAGAUCCAUUAUCAUAACCCUGUCCCCUCAUAUCAUCAAUAUCAAGGUCUAAAAUAUCGAUAUUAUCCCGAUAUUUCUUUCGAAAUUUCUGUGUUUUUGGAUUACCGAUAUUUCCGAUAUCAUCGAUAUUUUAGACCUUGAUAGGAACUCUAUGUGAUACUAAGUCACUCAUGUAUCUUACCAUGCAAUGUAUAAAGUGUAAAAUAUUGUAUUAAUUCAUUAUAUAUAAAUGAUUAUGGUGUGUUUAACUUCUUUCAUUAAUUACUACAUAUUUUCUACACUCAAAAUGUUUGUCAGCUCACUAUAUAAUCAACUUAAAUAAGUUAAAUCCAUCAUGAAAUGCAUUUCGUUCCAAUUUUUUGUAAUAAACUAGUAGAUAAUUGACUAAAUAAACAUCCUGCAAAGUUUCAAUAAAAAUUUCCAAGUUUUUCUUAUAAUUUCCGUGGUUUUUAUUCAAUUUUUAUCGAUAUCGAUAAUAUCCCGAUAUUUCCAUCAAAAUUUCCGUAUUUUUGGACUAUCAAUAUUUUCGAUAUCAUUGAUAUUUUAGACCUUGAUCAAUAUCAAGAUCAAGAGAUUUUAGGACAUCUUGCAGCUCGUUAAAAAGCCCUUGUCCUAAUGUAUCUUUCACACUUAAAAACUCCAUGAAAUACUCCCUUAUAUUUAUUGACCUACUUGACAAGUCAACACAUCACAAAAUUAAAGUCAUCUGUUCCACAUGACUUGCAUUAGGAGUACAAUCAAGAAUGACAAAAAAAAAUUUGGCUUCUUUUACUUUUUUAAUGAUUGCGGUUUUGACUUUUGAAGCUAAAGUAGCUAUCAACUCAUUUUUGUUGGAAAUGUGCCCUAAAACCAAUCAUAUGAUGAUACUUUACGAACGUUUCACAUGUUAAACUAAUAUAGUUUAAUAUAAAGGGCAAAAAUUAUUGUUUGUAGCCGUCUCAUAUAAAUGUUAUACGCUUAAACGAUAAGUCCAAGGAAUAUGUAAUUGGGAGAAUGCGAUCUAAAGAAGUUAGAUUCAUGAGACCAUUCUCUUCCGUAUACAUAUCCUAAACGUUACUGAUCAUAGGAUUGUCAAUUGGGCAUUGAUAGUCUGUUAAGAUCAGUACGUGUUAUGUCUUCUCUUAAGGAGAGUGACUGGUCUCGAGUCAUUGGUGUGACUGACACCAAGACAAGCAUGUAGGUGCUCAAUAGAGAAUGAGUCCACUGAACACGAUCAACAAGGAGUUCUCAUACUCAUGUCACAUGAGAACUCGUGGUUGGAAUAAUGCAAAGUAGUCAUUUGACCUGAGGCAUCAUAGUUGUCUUGUGGUUAGGUCCUUGAUCUUUGACUAUGUCAAAGUCACUCCGUCAGAGGGUGUCCAUUGCAUAGUUGGGGUUAAGCCACUUAGCCAUGGAGGCAAGUGAAUGCACAAUAAGGGAUCUCUAACCUUCAAACUAUUUGAGGGAGAAUACUCUAUGAUAUGAUUAAGAAUCUCUGGCCAGAGUAUGAAUGAUAUUUAAGAAGUCGUUCCAAAUCACAUUCAAGGUAAUCAUAUAAGUAAGAGAAUCACAUUGGAUAGUAGACAUGAAUAAACUAUCAAACCAAACAAUGUGGUCAAGAGUAUUGUAUUAGAGUAAGACCGUAUUGCAUUGUAAUCCUAAACUAAAUAGGUUCUCCACCUCUUCUGAUCAGCUUGGGUAACCAUGACAUACUGCUAGGUGUUACUCAUGAUUUGUGGAAGCCCUAAACGUGUAUAAUCACUAAAGGGAGAAUUGAAAGUAAGUUUCAAUUUACAAUCGAUUUGAAAGAGUUCUAAUCGCUCACUGCCUCGCUAAAAGGAACCUAAUGGAUCGUACACCGUGUAAGGUAGAGAUUGAAAAAACAACGGAGAUAAGUAAGGACAAUUAAAUGGUUUAAUUGUUUAUGACAAGAAUUAAUUAAUAUGUUAAUUAAUCAAACGAAUAAGUUCGGGUUAAACCUUGAGUUAGUUUUGGGCAUUAAAGCCCAAAUUGGGCUUCGAAUCUUCAAACCCAUUAGCUUAAGUUGUAUGACAACUUAACAAACAAAAUUCAAGAAGCCCAAAACAGCCCAAAGGCUUGGGAAAACCAGCCAUAUAGAGAGGGGUAGUGAACUUGGCUUAAUUGCAAGUUUGCCAUUCCAUUGUGAGGUGGUAUAAAGGCAACUUUAUAGCCAUUUCAUCCUUAGGGUUUCUUUUGGAGAAAAGAUGAGAACACAAGCUCCCUUUUCUCUCUAAGAGGCUGGCCACCCUAGAGGAUUUUAGCUAGCAAUCUUACUUCCUCUAGGUCACUCAUCUCUUCUUCAAGUCAUUCCUUGGUGUGGAGACUUAGAGGUUCCUUUCAACCAUCUUCAUCCAAGAAAUCCAUGGAGCUAAGAAGCAAGGAAUGAAGGCCCUCGCCUUGGGUGAUUAGCCUUUGCUUAUGCAAAGAGGAAUCAACAAAGGUAUAAAAUUUCUCAACUCACUUUGUUCUUGAGUUGAGUCUUGGUUCACAUAACUACUAGGCUUUGAAUUUCAUGGGUAAUGUUUUGUUUUGAGUGCAUACAAGCAUGAUUCCGCCUUUAAUUGUUAAUUGCAUGCCAUAGAUGUUGCUCAAAUGAACAUGUUUCUCACAAAAUUUCCUUCAAUUUUGAAUUUUAUGGCUCAAAUAGUGAUGAUGAAUCUCUUUAUUCUCAAUAAGUCGAAAAUGCUAUUGCAUUAUUGGAUCAAACUCCGCAUUCAUUUCAAGUAAACCUAAGAAGUUGCCAUUAGAGUCUUCAUAAAGUCUUUCAUUUGUUCCACGAAAUGCUAAAUUACGUAUGGCAAGACAUUUCAUAACAUCAAUAAUUCUAAGCAUCACUUGUUUCCAAUGAUUUGGCUCUUUCUUGAUUUGCAUUUGAAAUUCUUUGUCAAUUGUCUGAUUUUUUGUCAAUCUACUUUUCAACUCAACCCAAGUUCUCGAAUUAAUGAGAUGCUCUUUACUCUUUUCAUAUUGGUCAAGCUUCUUACCAAGAUGUCUCCAAUCACUAGUUCCAUCUUUUGCUAACUCACUUUUUGAGGCAAUUAUUUUAAACAAUUUACAACAAAAGCAAAAGACUUUAUCCAACUCUUUUGAGUACACGAGCCAUUUCCUAUCGUAAAUUUUACCCGUUCGUAAUUUUCGAUCAUAGUAGUGUGAGGAAAAUUUUCUAGAGAAUUUGUCCUUAGGAUAAGUGAAUUAGUUUCUCAAAUUGGUCCUUUUUCUACAAGUAAGUCUCUCAUUUUUGCAUUAAGACCAUCCCAAACUAUUGGAUCAUAAAUGUCUAAAUGAAAAAUAGGUUCAAGAGAUUCAAUAUUUUCUUCUACACCAAAAUGAUCAUCAUCAACAUUUAAAUCCACAUCACCACCAUUUUCAUGAUCUUGAGACUCAUCACCAACAUUUUCCUCUAAAUCACCACAAUUUUCUUGGUCAUGAGACUCGUCAUUAACAUCUUUCUCCACAUAACCACAAAUUUCAUCAUCAUGAGACUCCCCAACAAUAUUUUGUGACUCUUCACCAACAUCAUUUUCUCUCAAAUUUUCAACCGACUCAUUCUUUAUAGAAUUUUUUUUAUUAAGAGAUCCUCUUAAACUUUAGGCAAUUUCGUUAUCCUUUGCCUUUUUUUUCCUUUUCAUAUUACUAGAGAGUUAUUUUCUAAAAGACAUGGCUUUGAUAAUUUGUUUGCAAAAAUUACCUACAUAUGAUAUAACAAAAAUUUCCUAUUAAAAUUAUCAUCAACAAUUCAAAAAUUACCUACACAUGAUAAUCAAGAAUUCAAUUCAUCAACAACAACAAUUCUAUACAUCAAUUAUCAUAUAAUUCUGUCACUUGCAAAAUUUAUAUUAAAUUAUGAAUUAAUAAUUCAAAUUAAAAAAUUAGUUUACCUCAAAACUCAAAAGGGUUGUUGAAUGCAAGGACUUGUGGGCCUGUGGCUGUCGGGUUUGGAAGCUGUAGCCUGCAGCAGCGCAACAAAUUAUCAGACGGUAAGGGCUAGGGCAGUGGGGUAACAAUGGGGUGGGGAAUCGGGAAAAAGGGGAACUUAGGGUUAAUUGGGGGGGGGGGGGGCGGGGACGAGUGGUCCCCUUGUGUUGUUAUUUUUUAUUUUUUUAAUGGCCAAAACCUGGGCUGGUCUUUUUUUUUUAAUUUUUUUAUUAUUUAUAAAUGCCCAAAACCUGGGCCGUUCCCUUCAUUUUCAAACUUGGGCCUCUUGCCCUCUAGUUCUUAUUUUGGGCUCUGGACAAAUUUUUUUUAUACCUAAUUAUUUGGACUUUUUUUUUGGUGCCCCUUUCAAUUUUGGGCCUUGGAAUGGCCCUGGUUGCACUGGGCCUGGGCCGGGCCUGCCCAUGUAUAUGUUAUCUUGUGAUUUGACAAGUCAUAUGUAUAUCAUAUCAAUUUUAUCUCAAUUGUGGUGAUGGUACAUAAUACUUACUACAUCGUAUGGCAACAAAUAAAUAUGGGCAUAAAGAUAAAUAGAAUGGUAUCAGUAAAUUAAGGUCUUCACAUUACGAUUAUAUUUAUCUCUAUUUUUAGUGGAAAGUUUUAAGGAUAAUUUUUUUUCUGCCUCCUACAUGGGUCUCGAUUCUCCUCUACGGUAAAAAUCCGUAUGUUUUAAAUAUUGAAAAGUUAAUUUAGCCCAAAUCCUUGCCUAUUUUAGGGAAAAUAAAAAAAAUUCAUUUUUAACCCUUUGAUUACUUAUAUCACCUAGUAUAACCUUUUUUUUUGUGUGAUACAAACAAAUAUUUUUGUUUGGGCCCAAAAUAUUAUUUUAGGCUGAGCUUAGGUCAUUCUCGGCCUAGUGGCAUUCAUUUAGAAUUUUGUUAUGGGCCGUCCAGUUAAGGUCAGCCGAAUCCUAUUAUGAAAAGGUUUGGUUUGGAUAAGGGUGAGUUGGUCGAUACUAGUGCAACAAGGAUUCUGAAGACUAAGGACAUUGAGAAUUAAAGGGUGAAUUUGGUUUGUUAAGAAGCUUGGUUCAAAGUCCUACAGGAAUUAGGAUUGGUUGAAACCUGAUCGGAUUGGGUUGAGGAGUUCUAAUCCUAGUCCAUUUCUAGUUCGGCUAUGAGGGGAUUCAUUAUUAUAAAUAGAGAAGGGAGUGCAUCAUUCAAAGCCCCUCCAAUUCAACACACAAAUUGCCUUGUGCAAAGCUUCUCAACAACCUUUGAGAUUUUAUCCACUUCCUCUUUCUUUUGCCAACACAUCUUCAGUUUGGAUAAAUAGCACUGUGAAGGCAACCGUCGACAUCUUCAGUUUGGAUAGACUGCACUAGAGCCGUAAAAUUAGCCGACCAAGGAGCACCUUUAGUUUGGAUGGACAACACUGCUUUGAGGCCGACUGGCUAUUUAUUCAAGUCUCGGCUGAGAAGGAUUUUCAAAUCCUUGUUGGUAGAGGUCAUCUCGUCAGCCUUCUCGGCAAAGUGAGGUGUUACAGGUUUCUGGGCUCGGCACAUUGAACGUUGAGUUUUGUUUUAUGAUUAGAUACUCACAAGUAAGUUUUAGAGUUUGGCAUUCCGAUGGCCGAAUCACAUUUACAAUCAAGAUAUAUAUUUCUUUCGAGUAUUUGUGUCUGUAUAGUUUGGUACCAGUUCGGCAUGCUUAUACUCUCACGAAUAUAAUCACUAUGAUCGAACCUGAUGCCGAUGAUUUGUGAACUUCAUAGAACUAGCAACCUUGUCUUCAGGCAUUAUAAUCCAAAGGCCGAGACAUGUUCCUUCAUCGAUCGCAGUCGUAAGAUCGAGAAGUCAGCAGCGCGCCCAACGAGACAUCAACACAUUCUAUUCCUCGACCGAGUUGGCACGCCCUGCACAUAACUGAAGGACGUAGUUAGCUUAUUAGUUACUCAGCCUAUGCGUCACGUAGGCUUCAUAGUUUUUAGUGUCAACAUUUUGGCAUGCCCAGUGGAACCCAGUGUUAAAGCUACGAAGUUCAUGACCAUUGAGACACGGUCAGUAAAAAAGAAACCAGUAAUGGGAAAGUUGACAACUAAUCUUCCAGUCUAAAACUCAUGACAAGAUGGGUUGUUAUAGACACAGAUUCAUGCUGCUGCCAUGACACCUGAAGCCACAAGUGCGACAUGCCGAGAAAAGGAAGUGAAUCUUGGCAAUCAGCCUUGUGGUGCAGAAAUCCCCACCAAAACGACAAAAGGCAUUUUUGUUGAAGGAAUAGUGGAUGAUUAUGACGAGGACGGUGGUAAGGCCUCUGAUCCACCAACCAGGUCGUUUUUUCGACGACGACUUGAAGAGUAAUCUUGACAACUUGAGCAGAUGUUCAGCCGAGAGAUAAAAAAACAUAUUUAAAGAAAUGCGUGAUAAUAUCGCUGUACAUAAUUUAUUGCUCGAAGUUCUGGUUAGUAAAGUCCAUGACAUUGGACCCACCAAUCGAUCCAGGCAUCAUUUUUUCAGGAAUAACCCACUACCAAUAGUACAGGUCGAGACAUAAUCCACUUGGCUCAAAAUGAUUAACUUACAGAAAAGUGGUGGGUUAAUCAGCAGAUCAAACGGAUUCGACCAGAGAGCGGAAACGACAUAUGUUGAUAUGGUUGAAGUUUAGAGAAUGAUUGAUUCGGCCUUGAAAAAUGGGCCAAAGUUUCCAAAAUUCAUUCACCCAUAUCCUGCCUUUGUAGAAAAGUUUGAGUACCCAAAGGGGUUCAAGAUCUCUGACUUCAGCCUUUUCGUUGAAGAGUCGUCCCUAUUGUCAUUAAACACGUGGCUCAAUUCACUGCUCAAUGUGGGGACGUUAACAGUGAUUUCCAUAAGCUACGAUUGUUCAAUUUCUCGUUAACCAGCUCAGCAUUCGCAUAUUAUAUCAACCUCUCACCCAACUCUAUCCAAAGUCAGGAGGAACUGGUCGAGAAAUUUCAUGAGCAAUUCUAUCGACUGGGGAUGGACGUAUUAGUAUCUUCUUGGGCUAGGAUGGCUCAAGCCUCUGAUGAGUCACCAAUGGAAUACUUUACAAGGUUUAAGUUGGCCAGAAAUUGGUGUCGAGUACCUCUUCCUGAAGUCGAGUAGGCUUGCCCUGAAUGGCUUAGACGUGGAGUACAAGAAGAAAUUCUUAAGGGCAUACUUUCGAGAUAUGUACGAAUUGGCUCAGCAUGUCGAGCAAUAUGAUUAUUUUCUCUGAGAGGAAAAGAUCUCGAAGUUUUCAUCCCGAGGAACGAUCUACAAGAACUUUACGGUUAGCUAUGCAUCGGCCAAAGGCGAGGAGUCCCAAUAUGCUAGUAUAGACGUGGCCAAGAUAUUAAUCGACAAACUGUACAUAUGUAAAACAUUGGCUCAUGCUACCUGUUCAGCCUUUGAGGAAGCUGCCGUCAAAACGUUAAAAGUCUAUACUUUCGACAUCACUAAGGCUGAUGCCAUCUUUGACCAGUUAUUGCUUGCAAAAAUUGUCAAGCUUCAGCCAGGGCAUAAUAUUCCAAAGGUCAAGGACUUAAAAGGAAAGACAUAUUACAAAUACCACAACUCGAACAAGCAUACGACAAACAACUGUGUCGUAUUUCGCGAUGCCAUUCGAAACUGGAUAGAUAACGGUAAGCUUAAAUUUCCUGAGAAACCAAUGGUCAUUGACACCAAUCCUUUCCCUAUGACAACGGUAAGCAUGGUAGAUGCUCACCUACACAAGGAUAAGAGAAAAGGAAAAGCCGAGUUCAUCCCAACGCAAUACGUCCCUAAGCAGAAUUCUCGAUCACAAUUGAAAGUCAAUCUAUCCUUGGGUGAGCCACCCAGAUACUUUUCAAACCCAACUAAUACCGAGUCAAUAUCAAACUCCAGCACGGGAGAAAGUGACAUGCCAAUGGUUUUAUGCAGUUGGUGUAAAUCAAACGUCAUCAUAACUAAGCUGAAGGAAAAGCCACUUCGGACUGAAGCACCACUAACGCCUGUAGUUGUAGCAACACCUCAAAAAGUGCUUGGUACAGACCAACACCAUAAAGUUUUUGAUAGGCUCAGCCCUCAAACACGGAAUGACGGCCCGUCUUCGGCCCGAUAAUGACUUAAUUUCGACGUUUCGUUUUAUAAUGAAGAGUAUUAUGUGUGCAACUCCAGCAACUCGAGUUCAUCCGCGAACCAAAGAAACUUCAAGUCACCUGAGCCAUGCGACUAGUGUUGGUAUACCUACAAUUCCCUACCGAUGUAUAUAUUGCAUUGUCCAAAUCGUAGAAACAUCAGCGCCAAAUAAUGGACUAUAUGGCUCGCCAAUGAGCAGCCCAGACUACCUCGGUCACCAAGUGGCAACUGAAAGAAACGGUAGAUAACGAAGAUGAUUGACAACCUUCGGCCAUCAUGGUUGAGUUGCUUCAAGGAAAGAAAGUGAUCGAUCGUGACUUUGAAACCAUGAUUGAAGAAUCUGAAAAGUGAAUCAAACUCUUUCUUCGGCCUAGGGAGAUGAAAGCUUGCCUCGAGCACUUUCGGAAAGAAGUUGAAAACAAACUUCCUUUACUACCCUCGCAAGAGCCAUUAAUUAAAGUUCGAAGGAAUCUUCACCCGCCAUUUCUUAACAAAGCUUUAGAAUACAUGCAAGAGUUCCAUAUAAAAACAUUCAGCUAAUGGUUAAUAUUGCAUGCCAAAAGCAUGCCAAGAGGCUCUUGAUCUAGUAUUAACUUGCCCCGAUGCCGAACAAAUCAUCCAAAAGACCAUGGAUCAGAGGAUGAAGGCUAGAAUCCAGCAUAUACUCGAGGCUUGAGUUCUCUACUUUGAGGUAGACCCAUAUACUGAUAUCGAUCCAACCGACCUUCCUUUCUCCCUUAAGGACCUCCAAUAUUUACUGUAUCAUUUUGAAAUUUUCUCGGCAGUUGCCCUCUUUAAUCUUACGACUGAUGAGAAAGAACGUAUGGCGUGAUUAGAUGCUUACUUAGACACAAGAGACGCCCGCAUCGUAUAUCAGGAGCGGACUCACAAGGCUUCACAAGAGCAACACCAAGUCCCCACGUUGAGCGAGCCUAAAGUUGAUGGUCAGAACGAAAUGGGUUUGGUGGAUGCACUGUAGGGACGGGUUCUCUUAGCUGCCGGAGAGGAUCAGCCAGAUAAUGCCCAUAAGCAAAAUACUUCGCCUGAAAAUCUAGAAGACAAAGAUCACGACCCAAUGGGUUCUUCGGUCCUUGAUAACACGGAAAUCAACAUGGUCCAUGUCUUACCUGCCGAGUUCUAGCUAAUUACAUCUCAACCAAACUUUAUGGACGACGUCAAAGUCGCCGAGGAAGCCGCACAAGUCGAUUUUUUGGCCACCGAAGAGAUCGAGCAAGUAAGCAAAGAAGAUAAACUUAAGGCAGCUCUUGCCAAUUUGUUCCCCCGCUAUUCGUCAGUUAAUUUUCAUCAUUUAAAGCCAUUGUAUGUUAUAGCUCGUAUUGAAGGAUAUCUGGUUUCUAAAAUUUUUGUCGACUACGAAGCAACGGUCAACAUCAUGCCCGUUUCUAUCAUGAAGGCAUUACGUCGCUUUAGCAACGAACUCAUUCCAUUAGGGGUAACCAUGAGCAGCUUUGUCGAUGACAAGUCCUAAACCAAAGGAGUGCUUCUUUUAGAGGUAAAUAUCGCAUGUCGCAAUCACAUGACCGAGUUUCUCAUAGUUGAUUUAAAGACUGAGUAUAAUUCCUUGCUUGGUUGUGAUUGGAUCCACCAAACAAGCUGUAUCCCUUCGUCAUUAUAUCAAGUCUCAUCUUUUGGGAUGACAAAUCAGUCGUGGUUCAUCCAGCCAACAAUCAGUUGUUUGAAGCUAAUAUAAUUUAGGCUCGUUAUUACAAUGAUCACAUCGGCUACAUCACCAUAUAAGGUUUUAAAGGGGAAGGACGGCCAACUUGAAUCUUAAUUUAGAAAGCCAUUGAGGUUGGAAAACAUUGUGACAAGAUUCGGCGUACCAAAAAUAAUUAUAACAGAUAACGGCAUAAUUUUUACAGCCGACAAGUUUAAAGAAUACGCAGCGAGUCUAAAAAUUCAGCUCAAUUAGUCCACGCCAUAUUACCCAUAAUCAAAUGGACAGAUCGGAGCAAGUAAUAAAGUUUUAAUCGGUAUACUUGACAAAAUGAUAAAAGAAAAGCCUGGUAUGUGGCAUUUGAAGUUAAACGAGGCAUUAUGGGCAUAUCGAACUUCACUCUGAUCAGCAACAGGGAUGACCCCAUAUGCGUUGACUUAUGGGCACGACGCGAUGCUACCGGUCGAGCUAAGCAUAAACUCGUUAUGAGUUAUCGAACAAAGUAGUUUAUUCAGUGCCGAGUACAGUCAGGCCAUGAGGUAAGAGUUGGAGGACUUGGAGGAAGCUCGGCUCGAUGCCUAUAACUUACUGGUGGUGCAUAAAAAGAUUACCGAACGAGCUUAUAAUCGAUGAGUUAGGCAAAAGACGUUCGGUGAAGGUGAAUUAGUAUGGCAAACCAUGUUACCAGUAGGGAUUAAAGACCUUAGAUUUGGGAAAUGGUUGCUGAAUUGGGAAGGACCAUUCGUCAUCCACAAGGUUCUUGGCAAGGGGGAAUACCACUUGAAAAAGUAUUAUUCGAUUACUUGGGAAAUGCAAGAAUAAAGAAUUUAUUUCAUUGAUUUUCAAAGGACAUUUACAAGCAAAAUUACAAAGAGUCGAUCGGCCUACAACUACAACUAAAGACAAAAGUCCUAAAGAGUCGAAGGAAGAAAAGCUUCAAAAGUGGCUUUCAGUUCUAGCCAUCUUACUUCGCCCAUCGUGACCUCAGCCUGUCUUGUUCUUUUGUCAAGUUGUAGUUGAUGUAUCUGCUUCGAGCUAGCUGCAUACUCUGCCAGUCGAGGUUUAUUCGAAUUGAAAUCUAUUUCAAGCUCGGAAGCAACGGCUGACCUUUGACGUGGAAGUUUAGUGAUUUGGCGGUCAAGAUCGGCCAGCCGCUCACUCUUUGCUUUUAUGGCCUCGAGCUCUGGUCGGAUAGCUUCAUGAACGACCAUUGAAGCCUUGAGGUCAUCUUCUGCCUAAAGAGCCCCAUCAAAAAUAGCGAAGUAUUGUCGGGUUCGUUUUAGGAUAUAAGAUAGGUGAACGACAUUCUCAUUGCUUAGAAUGCCAUCGUUUACAAGGUCGUUCAUACAUUCUUCUAUAGAAUCGAGGCCUUUGUAUUCAAGGAUUUGCAUGGCUGAGAUAGACAAAAGCUCAUGCAGCUUGGCGAAGACACUGGACACGGCCGCGAUUGCAAAAGACUAGAUCGCGGUUGUUGAAGGCCUAGUCACCCCAGAAGUGUUUGAGAGGAGGGUGUCAAGCUUGACUUUCCAUGAAGGCUGCAUAAAAAGAGUUGUUAGAAAAGAGAAGUUAAAAGGACGGUAGAUAAGGACGUUGUGUUAGACCUACCGAGAAAAGACUUCGGCCAUGUCUGUUGGUUCGUUACUCGAACCGAGAGAGCUUAAUGGCCGAGCCUAGUGUUUAAGGCAACCUUUUAAUUCAUGUGGCCGAUAAAGGUUAUCUAUGUUUGAUGGCUAUUGGGAUGGCCAAGAAAUAUAAAUAACGCCAUUUGGCGCAUAGAAUUUUUGGAGAAAUGAGUAAUUAGGCACCUGGCAGUUAAUAUUUUCUUGGUUUAGAAUUCUAAAGCAAAAAAUUAAUAAAAGAAAAUGAUGACGAGUCUUACAAAGGUCGAAGUAACCUCCUGAAGAGGAAUGUCGAAAUUCUGGUCUUGAGGAUGAACCAACGUCUUUACCAUUGCUUCUGCCUCGACAGGAGGCACCGCUUCAUGUCCUGCACCUAUUUCAGUUGCAAAAGUGUCGACCUGGCCAGCCAUCUCAACUAUCGGUUGAGGAUUGGUGGUUGGUAGUUCAGCUGGUUGAGAGCGCCUCACCAACGGGGGUACUUCAUUCUCGUCAUCCUAUACAUAAAAGAGGAUUGGUCGUUAGUUGAGAGAUAUAGUCAAAAUAAAAGGAGAACAUUAGUAAAAAUGGUCAUACCUAUUCUUCCACAAUGAUUAUUGGAGUCUUCUUUAGAUUUGGCGGAGGGUUUCUCUCGGCUGUGGUGGCCUCAUUCUCCAAAGCAGUAGCUGCCACGCUAACACCAAGAAUAACGGCCGGCCUCGGGGUUGGAAAACCCUUGACUAAUGGGUUGAUGAUGGGUUCAACAACAGCCAGCAUAAUGGGUUGGAUCUUAGUUGAUUGAUCUGUCAGAGGAUUUUGCGGUACUCCAAUCGAGGCCUGGACGACAUGAGAAUGGAGAAGGGCACUAGGAGUGGUUGUUCCCGUGGUUUGACUCGAAAUGACAUAUAUCUCCCGUUCUUCAUUCUUUUCCUUUUUCUUGAGGCACUUUUGGGACCGGGCAAUGUUGCCAGUCGUCUCGACCUUUGGGCGAGGCCGUUUGCUCGGUGCGGUCGGUGCAAUAGGGGCUGCUGCAGAAGUUGGUUUGACUGAAGGAUGAGCGAGUUUCUUUUUAGUCGCGACCAUCGUAACCACAUUGACUCGUUUUAUGGCACGACCACUUGGAAAAACUGAGUUUAAGUCAGAACGAUGUUCAAAUUGAAUAAACAAACAAGGGAAGUAAAAGAUAUAUACCUUUAGUUGUUUCUUUGGAUUUUGGGACGAGUCUUCCUCGGUCGGUCGUCGAAAAGCUUCUUUGAAAUUUCCUCGACUGAAGUACUGAAGAAGUCCUUGACGUAAGCAUCUCACCAAUCGGCGAAGAUGCUAAUGCAAUGGGUUUUUGGGGUAAUCAGCCGAAGAUAGAAAUUGGUGCAUCGCUCUAAGAAUUCCCUCUCGGAUUCAUCACAUUCCCUUUAUGAGGAGCUGAAGAGGCGUUCUCGGCUCAAGGGUGAGCGGGAAGUGAGGAGUGGCAUAGGAUAGGCCUGGACAUAGCUCAGUGGAUAGGCCAUGAAGUCAGGAUGGCAAAUCUCCUAGCUGGCCCAUCGAGCAUCACAACCAAAUGGAAUGUCACGAGCUAGAACAAAUGAUCCAUAUGAUUGUCGGAGAUCAGCGUCUUCUGCUUCUUCCCACACCAAUGUAGGGAGCCUGAUGGAAGACAAAUAUUUCUGGCGGUGGCAGACCAGAAACUCGUCGUUCAACAAGUCUUCAAGGUCGAAGAAGUACUUGAAGACAUCUUCGGCCAAUGGGCAGGAGUAGGGUGUGAGGACAGUUGAAGGCUCAUUGCUUUGGAAGAAUUGAAGUGUAGGAUUUUUGGCCUCAAUGUGUAGAAGUAAACCUGCAACCAUAGUUGAAAGACUCAAAGUGGGCCGUUCUGGUGUGGGUUGAUUUUCCCGACGGAAACCUCAGCCAAGCAUCGAGAAAGGUUGGCAAUGAUGGUCGAGCUGAAGGGCAGGACGUGGCCACUAGCUAGCGCUUCAGCCACUAGCACAUUCUUGGCCAGGCACUUGUACGACUUGGUACAAAAGAUGAACUUAUUGUACUACUAGAACGAGAAGGUCUCGUGUUCCCCCUUCUUGAGAGCUUCCCCCUCCGAGCCAGCGAAGUGGGUGAUCAGGGUGCUAUAAUUGAAGAAGUUCUUGUGCAGCUUAUAUACAUCUUUUUUUCAACGGCUCCUGACCAUCCUUCAUCAAAGCUUCGACGACAUGUUCGUCAAAGACCGCCUUUAGAUCUAGGUCGAAUUGAUAUCGAAAAAGGGUGGUAUCAACUGAAAGACCAGAAAGGGGAGUGCCAAGUAUAGCCGUGACAUCCAGCAUUGUUGGGCCAAUGGGGCCAAGAGGAAGGACCAUAAUGUUGGUGGCCAAACACUAGAAACUCAGGGUGGCCAUUAGGAGUUCUCGAUCCAUGUUGAUCUCAAUGGUUGAUAGCUUAAUGGCAUCAAAGUUACUGAGAAUCUUCCAAUCGCCCCUGAAGUGUGGCUCCAUCCGGGUAGGGGUGGGUACUUGGAAUCAAAAAUCAAAACCGAAACACGAAUCGAAUCAGACCGCACCGAACAGUUUGGUUUUGUGAUUUUGAAACGGUUACGGUUUCAAAACCAAACCGCAGCAAAGAAAACGAUUUGGUUUCGGUUUUGGGGUUUCAAAACCGCACCGAAACCAAAACCGAAAUCGAAACCGCACCAUAUAUUGAAUAUUGAAUGUUAUGUUUUAAUCUAUUGUUUUGUGCAGCUCCAAUCUGAGUUUUUCAUGGCAGUAGGGCUCCCAGGCUCACAUUGCUCUCAUAAUCACUUUGCUUGUUAUGUGUAGCCCCAUUGCAGUAAAUUUUAAUACCGCGGGGCUCCUAUACAAUCUGUGAUACAAACCAACAUGAUAUUCUUAAAUUAGUAAUAAAAUUGACAACGAAUUUUUCUUACUUUGAUGAGAUAUGUAUGAAAUAUUCUGGGAAAAAAUGUACAUGCUAACUCUUGGAUAAUAACUACAAUGAGCGAUGGAAAAUACAUCCAUUUGUAUGCCAUUUAUUACCAAGGAAGUUGCAGAUAAUCGAGGCUAACAUUCUCAAGAGAAUGCUAAGUUGGUAACACAACAGGAAGUAGGUGGGAAAGAAAUACUUACCAGCUAGAGUAAGUCCCUAGGUGGACAAGGCAUAGAAUAAAUUGUACAUUUUUUUUCUCAAAAACCAAACCAAAACCGUUUGAAACCACACCGAACUGAACCAAACGGUUUGGUUUCAUUUUGGUUUUGGCUUCAAAACCGCACCGAACUGCACCGCAAAGAGUUUCGGUUUCGGUUGCGGUUUCACUUGAAACCGCACCGAACCGUACCGUGCCCACCCUUACAUCCGAGUGACCCAAGCAGCCCAGACCGUGAGGGUUGAUGGCCAACUCCCUAGGGUUUGGUCAAUUCCCACUUCGACCAAUCGUAUCCUUGAAAUAGGGGUUCAAGGCAAUGCGUCUUCAACAUCUUGGUGAUUGAUUCUGGGAUGUUUUCCUUGAAAAGUGGUCCCAGAGUUUGGUGGAAAACACUUGAAUCAUCCUCACACCGGAGGGAUUCGAUGGCAUUCUGGUUAAUAAAGUCUCAACAGUUGUCGCAUUCCUCGGCGAGCUUGGUGAUAUGUUAGAGGUUUAUUUUGCUUCUUCAAGGUUGACGCUCAGCUUAGAUUUGUAGGCCGAAUACCUUAGAAGCGAGGGGGCAAUGUUUGGGCCCAAAAUAUUAUUUUGGGCCGAGCUUAGGUCAUUCUCGGCCUAAUGGCAUUCAUUUAGAAUCUUGUUAUGGGCCAUCUAGUUAAGGUCAGCCGAAUCCUAUUACGAAAAGGUUUGGUUUGGAUAAGGGUGAGUUGGUUGAAUCCUAGUGCAACAAAGAUUCUUAAAGCUAAGGACACUGAGAAUUAGGGGGUGAAUCUGGUUUGUUAAGAAGCUUGGUUCAAAGCCUACAGGAAUUAAGAUUGGUUGAAACUUGAUCGGAUUGGGUUGAGGAGUUCUAAUCCUAGUCCAUUUCUAGUUUGGCCAUGAGAGGAUUCGCUAUUAUAAAUAGAGGAGAUAGUGCAUCAUUCAAAGCUCCUCCAAUUCAACACACAAAUUGCCUUGUGCAAAGCUUCUCAACAACCUUUGAGAUUUUAUCCCCUUCCCCUUUCUUUUACCAACACAUCUUCAGUUUGGAUAAACAGUACUGUGAAGGCAACCGAUGACAUCUUCAGUUUGGAUAGACAACACUGUAGCCGUAUAAUUAGCCGACCGAGGAGCACUUUCAGUUUGGAUAGACAACACUGCUUCGAAGCCGACUGGUAAUUUAUCCAAGUCUCGGCUGAUAAGGAUUUUCGAAACCUUGUUAGCAGAGGUCAUCUCAUUAGCCUUCUCGGCGAAGUAAGGUGUUACAUGUUUCUAGGCUUGGCACAUUGAACGUCGAGUUUUGUUUUAUGAUUGGAUACUCGUAAGUAAGUUUCAGAGUUCAGCAUUCCGAUAGCCGAACCACAUUUAAAAUCAAGACAUAUAUUUCUUUCGAGUGGGCAUGCCCCACGCAUAACUAAAGGACGUAGUUAGCUUAUUAGUUACUCGGCCUGCGCGCCACGUAAACUUGAUAGUUUUUAGGGUCAACAACUUUCAUUUUUUCAUUCCCAACCUACCCUGAAUUUAAAAAUGGAUAGAAACAUAAUUUUUAGGCCAACUUUUACUUAAUUUGUUGCUCUUUGCUUUGCCACUUUUAUGCCAAGUUCUUCUUCUUCUUUUUUGUCGAUAUGCUAAGUUCUUCUUCUUCAUCUUCGUCACUUUUUAUUCUUCCAUUUGUUCGUGUUAUACUUCUAUCUUAUAUGUUGGAAUAAAUUAUGUUGAAACUAAAUUCACGCAGUGCCAUAGAAGGUAAAGACACACAAAUUCGAGUAAUCUGUAAAAGAACAAACAACCAUGAGCUAACAAAAAACUAGGGGUGUGCCAGUCAAAGGCUCUCCGAUGGUCAAGUUAGUAAGCAAUAUAAAAUUAAAGAAGUAGACAAGAAAGUAAGUAUGCGAUAAUUGUGUUACCAGAGAAAAUCCUAGAAUGAUGUAUUUAUACUAGUUGAGGAUGGGAUGUUUUAGAAUAGUAGAAUUUGUAUUAAAUCGGGAGAAUCCUAGAGGAUAUCUAGAGAUAGAUAUUGCAUCCUCUUAGGAGUGUGAUUACUUACCGCACACGUCAAUCUUUUGAUUGUAAGGACUCCAAGAUUAAUUAUAAGAAACUUGCUGAUUUCUUGCUGGAUUUUGUUUCCAUAUCUUAUGGAAAAAGGUUAGUCUCAUCGAAAUCAUCAGACUUCACCCACUGAUUUCGGAACAGGAUGAUGGUGGCAUCGCUGCUUCGUAUGUUUAGCUCCGCAUCGGAAGCUGUAGAGUCCAUGACCAAAUAUUCGUAUUCCGAUCCACCUUACUCUGGCCCUGAAAAGUCAUAGUCCAACAAUUUAUAUUGAAAUUUGUCAUGGUGAUAACUUAACUACAUGUAAUACAUAUUCCUUUCGCUUGUACAUGUCUUAAAAUUUGCCAAAUGCUUAUAUGUCUUUGCCUUUCCUUUUGUAUAAUUGGUUGGGUAUUUUUAAUUGUAGGAAGAUAGUAAUAUUUUCAUACGUAUAAUUGUUUCAUAUCUCUUUUAUAGGUAAAUGAAGAUGUUAAUUAAUCAAAUAUUUUUCGUAUAUAUAGAAUUGUAUUAUAUAUUGUUUCUCCCCAAAAAAAAAGUGCUUUAGAUAUCAUUAUCAUAGGUAAGUAACCGUAUAUAAUUAGAAAUUUAAAUCUAUAUUUAUUAUCAAAGUCAAAAUAGUCAUACAACUAAAAAAUAAAUGCACAAAUUGGGUUAAAGUUGACCACACACACACAUACACACGCGCGCGCACACACACAUAUAUAAUAUGUUUGUGUGUUUGUUUGUUUUCUAUAUGUAGAGCUUAAUUAAUUAGGUUUGCAUGGUAUACAUAGUAUCCAAGCUAUGUAGCUAUCUUAUUUUUUUUUUUAUAAAAGUUAGCCUGCAUGAUUUCUAAUCCAUCAAUGUUUCUUUGUAGUUGGAGGUGUUCUAUUUCAUGCAUGCAAUAGUAGGAGCUGUCGCUUGGUAAAAUUAACAAGGGGUUUUUGAACUUUAAUUCUUGAAGAAGAUUAAAAUUUAAUAAAAAUUUAGUGUUAUAUUGAAUAUUGAUUUUAGUCUAUUAAUAUGUAUUUAAUUCAAAUUCAUAUUAUAUUUUUGUUUUUAUAUUUAACAGAUAACUUAUUUAAUGUUAUUACAUUAAAUUUUAUUUAACUUUCUCUAAUUAGUGUACCUAAACGUCUGUAUCAUAAUAUACUUUACUAAAUUAAUGUACCAAAAUGCCCGUACCAAAAUAUAUUGUAGUGAAUUAGUGACACAUAAGAAAAUAUGUAAAAACAUAAGUGUACAGAAAAUUCCGUACCUAACUAUAUGAUACUAAACUAGUGUACCAAAAUGUCGGUACCUAAAUAUAUUAUACUAAACUAGUGUACCGAAAUGUUCGCACCUAAAUAUAUUGUAAUGAAUUAGUGGCAGAUAAGAAAAUAUGCAAAACAUAAGUGUAAUGAAAAAUCUCUAUGAAAAAUAUUUUCUUAUAUAAGAUGCUUACCAUUAGAUGAUUCCACUAAAUGAUGCCUAUAUAUCCUCGAAUCUUACUUUUCCACUCCACUACAAACUUUCAUUGUCAAAACAAAAAAAAAAAACUCCCAACUUUUUAUACGCACUUAUUUCAAAAUUUUGCCUCUCUUUUGAAUCUUUUAUCAUGGCUUUUUCAAGCAAGAAGUCUAAACCAAUUAAGCUUUCCCCCUAUAAUCUUCCUUUGACAAGAGUUCGUAAUCGAGAAGAAGGUGAGUCUUUCAUUAAAGAGCACCAUGACAUUUUGGACGACUGUAACGUCUGGUGGGAACCUGGUCAUGAUAUCUAUGCUAAUCUGCACCGUUGUUUAGUCCUUGCUGUCUUUGUACUAGAAUCUACCCUUGGUUCUUGGACUUUGGUCUUCGUUUCCCUCUUUCUGCUUUUAUGAAAGCCAUUUUGUUAUGCUAUGAUAUAGCCAUCUGAAACCUCUCUUUUACCGCCUUCAAGCUUUUCACUUGCUUCGAGUUGUUGAAUUAGUGGUUCGGGGCUAAGUUGGAUAUCCCAGAGUUUAAAUGUUGCAUAGCUUCAAACCGAGUUUGGAUGACCAUUAUUAUUUUGCUGCUAUAACUAGUUUGGAUUAGGAGACAUACAUCAAGACACCCCUAAUCACCACAAGGAUUGGUUCAAAGACAUACUAAUUGUUAACGGAGCUUAGGAGGGAGAUAUUAGCGGACUCCAGAUCCGGAUUGAUCCUCCGACCGUUUAUCGCAAUUGGAAAUGGUUGUUCUCUACUGAGCACUUGAACAACCGUAAGAAGAUAUAGACGCAUUUCAUUGUUCAGGAUUCCCUAUAAAGAAGCUAGAGUAGGUUGAUGCUCGUAAUGAUCAUAGAAAAACUCGUUCCUUUAAAACAGCAUAGACUUUGUCACCUGUCCUAAAGAAGCGGAAACAUCCUAACAAUUCUUCUUCUUACUCAUUGGUUGUGACUCCUCAGCCACAACUGCUGAUUAAGGACAUCCAUUAUAAACCCCUCUUCGAAUAAGCACGUUGCUGUUCUGGCGCCACCAACUUUUAUUGUAUUUGCCUCUAUAUCCAUAGCAAAUAAGCCGCUUACUUCACCUCUUAUCCAUUUACCUGCGGUGUUGCCCCAAUUGUCGAAGUCAGAACCUAUUGUCCUCAUUUGGUUCUUCCACCAAGUUUUAUGUUCGUGCCAUACGAAAUUGAUGUGCCUUCCAUUUCCUCAACGUCCACUUUCGUCCAUCCGCUGCAAGUGCCUAUAUAUGAACCUUCCUGCCAUAAUGGUCCUCCAUUGAUUUCCCCAUCGAGGUCCAAGGGAACAUCUCGUCCUCCCUUUAUGAUCAAACCUUUGGCUGAUCGAGUUGCUUUUGCUUCUGAUGUCAGUGGUCUUCAAAACACAUAUGAUGCUCGGGUGCUGCAUGGGGCUACGAUUGCCACUACCGAUUUCAAGGGAGCCUACACUUCUCUUAAAUGUGACAUAAUGCAGUACUAUAGGAGUCAUUAUGAGAUACCCGAAUUUCUCUCCUCCAUUUCUUUUUGUUGAUAUGUUUCCCUCGUAUUAGGUUAAUGUGUGGACGAAUCUAGGAACUUAAACGGAUUACAGAUAUAGGCAAAACGAUGAUUGCUAUCCCAAUCAUAAGAACUUAAGAACUCGUAUACCAUGUAGCAAGCCUCGAAUACCACUCAUGAUGUAGAGAUAAUUCGGGAGAUUGAUCUAGCUACUGUUAUAGAGGUAAAGGCCAAAGAUUACAAGGAAAGUUUUGAGAAGGUUAGAGACGAGCUGAGGUUAGAGAAGCAAGCCAAGACGAAGGUGGACUAGGCUCUUGUUGUCUUAAAAGGAGAGUCGGAGCGUGUGUUAGCUUUAAAACAAAAUGUUUGGGCUAAAGAGCAGGAAGCUCUUCAAAAAAAGAGGUCGAGCAUCUAUGCUAAGAGGUCGAUCACAACGAUAACAAGCCCAUCGCGUACCUUUAGCAGCUUACUAACAGGUAUUCCUCUUAGACGUAUGUAUUCCAGGAAGAUCAUAAGAGGUUACUUGAAGAGGAGUUUGACGUCAGAUUCCUUACCGAUUACGCCCAACAAGAUCACCCUAAAGGUUGGAGCGUCUUCAGAAUUUAUGAGUAGAUCAAACACAUGGACUUUCCUCCUCCGCAUCAUUUGUUAGAUGAGAUGUCAGAUUUAGAGGCGGAGCAAAAUGAAUGUGAUCUUAAAGGUAAUCCGACACCUGAUGCCCUUGGUGAAUCUUCUACUCCAUUCAAGGGAAACGAUGUCCUGAAAAAGGAUUAAUUUGCACUUGCUCCUGGGUAGGAAAGGAGACUGUCCCUUUUGCAAACUUUUUGUCGUAAUACAAAGCUUUUUCUUUCAUUUCUUUCUCUACUCGGGGAAGAAAUCUUAAUCCUAUAAAUUUCUCUAAAGUAAACGAACUUUAUUUGAGAAAUAAGUGGCGGAGCGGGUACGAGUAAGUUUGUAGGUUCGGGACAAAGCUCAUCAACUCCCCUUGGAAACAUUGAUUCAGGGGAAUGUUGCCUCCUAAGAUUUGUAUUCAUAAAGUAUUCUCAUCAUGAUAUCUAGAAUACCACCUUAUUAUGGUAUUAGGAAUUAGACAUUAAACCCAUGAGAAAACUCUUGCUCUUACACUUAUUAAAAUACAUUCAUCAGGUAUAAGAGGUCCAAAUCAUGCCUGAUAACAUCUUAGAAGUAGAGGUCGAUUACCUCAAAACUUGCAAUGUGGUGCCAGAAUGAGUUUUCCCUGGUCCGAAUUGCGUGUUCAUUUCUAGUGAAUCUUACGCAAAAGUUCUUUGGAUACAUGGUCAUCAACAUGUGAGUCAAAAAUGCUUUUAGAAUCCUUUUGUUAGACCCUAUGUGUCGGACUUGAGCGUUUAUAAUCGGACUACUUUGGUUGGCUUGACCAAAGCAUUUUCGCUUACUGAAGCUCCAUUGGAAUAAAAUUCCUCUUUGGGAUUGCCUAGUUUGAAUGCCCUCUUCGAACCUGCUAACACUUGGUGUUGUAGAGCUUACUUGACUUAGUAAAUUAGUCUGGGAUAGAAGUAGUCGUACUCGGGGUCAGAUUUUAGAGCCACCCUCAGAUAAGUUCCAGAUCGCCCUUUUGACUAUUCCCUCGAAUGUGUAGAGCCCAGGUUUGGAAUGUUAUAACCCACAACCUUGCUGGUUACAUAAACUUUCUAGAGACUGGAUGGUGCAUUGGACUUCCAGGUCAAGGCGCAAUGUUCCUGUACCCAUAGCCCACCAGUCGUUACAACACUUAUUACUGUUCGAGUCUAACAAGCUGCUAGCCGUUCCAGACGGAUAAGGCUAAAGAAGGCUCUUAUGAUAGUGUAAUUUUGAAUGUUUUUAGACUUGUAUUCGUGUAAAGUUUUCAAAGUUUGGGGCCUAUUUUUUAACGAGUGGGGUACUCCCUACAUCAUCGAAAAAAUAAAGAAAAGAAUACGUAUUUAAGACAAACAGAUGCUCGUUAUUCAUGAUCGAAGUAAAAUUGAUUGACAAGAGGGUGUGAUUGAAUCUGAGAAGGAUUGCCUACAUAUUUAUGAGAUGGAGAAUCAAAUUACUGAUAUAGUUCUAAAGAAAAUAUGAUAUAUGUAAAAAUUUACAUGAAAGAUCACUUUUGACGAUAAGCCUAUAGGGAGGCGUUGGGGGAUGAUUUCUCAAUGGACUUAUCUUCACACAGAUGGGGGCGUUACCGAACUGCCUACAUAUCUCAGGAAGGGAAUCAAACCGUGUGUAUUUCAUGUGAGAUUUACUUUGUUUUAGGUCACUUGGAGAGGCUUGCAAGGGUUUUAAUUUUCUUUCUUCAACAAGGAUUUCAUCCAUCGGCACAAGUCCUCUGGUUUCUAUGUCAUUGAACCUUUUGCUGCUUGGCAUCAAUUCGGAGUAGUGAGGUGGGAUUCUAUCUUUAAAGGGGACUUUUGCCAUGGCGUAUAACCAUUCUCGGCCAAAGAAAGCGUUGUAUAGAGACAAAUUAUCCAUCACUUGGAAAGUCAUCAGAUGUUCAGAUGGUUUUGCUUGAACCAUGAAAUGUAUUGUCCCUAUGGUGUUAAGCGGGGUUCCAUUAAGGGUUUGGACAUUGGAUCUUCAUGAGUUGACUUCAUCUAGGAUGUUAAUUGAUAGGGAUUUUUACCAUCUACAAAAGUAGAGAUAAAAACACUUAAAAAUACUUGCAAGAGUACAAGGUUGUCGUAGUAUAGUGGUUUAGGCAAGGUCGUUUUCCACCGAGAUUGAAUGAAUAAUUUGUGUUUAAAACCAACACUUAAUUAAUUAUUUAAAACAAAGUUUGGAAAAUGUUGAUUUUAGAAUUUAAUAUAAUAAAAACGAAUUUUAAAAUAAAACAAUUAAAGAAAUUAACUAGAGAACAAUUUAAAGAAAAACAAUUUGUAAAAGCCUAGGGUUCCGCCGUCCCCUUAACAAUCCUACGCAAUUUUACUAAUUACUUAUGAAUUUCCACAUAUAUACUUUGAAGGUUAGGUUUUCCUAAUGCAUAUUUUCCUUGUGUGUUUAAGCGAAAACGUAUAUCUAACAUGCAACCCGUCUGUGAUGUUCAGAUCAAAUAUAAACAUGCAAGACUCAUUAAGCUUUAUGAAAACCCUUUGAAAAACCAUGCAACCCUUAAGAGCGUGAUAUUCACCUUAAGUGAACUUACAAUUACUAAUCACAAGAAGCCCUCCUCAAUUUCAGGGUGAUGUUCCAACAGAAAUUGCAUCAAAUUACUUGUCUAAAAACCCUAAUGGUUGCGAAUCACUAAGACAAUUAGAUAGUUUGAUCGCAGUGAUUAAUAAUUCAAAGUAAGCAUGCAUCCAUUCAUAAGCAAAUUAAUAAAAUCACAUAUUCAUGCUAAGGCUUGUGGCAUCGCCCUAGCAAAAGAACUUAGUUACGAACAAUCAUGAAACAAAAUAUUAUUGAGAAUAAGGAUAGAAAACGCCUAGAAAAUAAACUUGAAAAACUCUCUAAAGUGUGCGUGCGUUCUCUCCUCUCCUUCCCUUCUAACCCUAAUGGCUAAAAGGUCUUAUUUAUACUACUACAAAAUAAAACCUAAAAAGUCUUAGAAUAAAACUAGGAAACAUAAUAAAAUAAUAAAACAUAAAAUAAAAGGUUUCCUAUUUGAACUAAAAUUCGGAUUUCUUAGAAAAUCAGACUUUUGACCGACCAAAUUAACUCUGAUUUGUCCCAAAAAGUCUCUUUUGAAAGAUGGAGACGUCCCCUACAAAUCCUCAGAAGAAAUCUUCCUCAAAAUAUUCCAUCUUGACCUUCAAAAUGCCCAAAACGUCCAGAAAGGUCAGUCUGGAAAAGCUGCGCGCUGGGCCUUUAUUUCAUAACCACGGUCAAACGGCUUAGUAGAAAAAUAUAGAAUUUUGACACAAUCAUCUUGAAAGACUCACGAACAUCCUCCAAUUAGAAUUACUCUAAAAUUAAUCUGUUUGAUCACUUUUUUGCUCCAGAGGAAAUUGAAUGUCCAACUUUAGAAAUAUAGUUCAAAGUAUCAAAAUUCUACCAAAAUAACUAGGGUAAAUUACAUAGUAGCCCCUCAGGUUUGAGGUCUAUUACAACCCCAUACAACAACUUUAAAACAUUUCACUUUCAUACAUCCAUUGCCAUUUUAUUUCAAAAUAACACCUCUGUUAGAUUUUCCAUCUAUUAGUCUGUUAAAUGCUGACGUGGCUACCACAUUUAUGCUGAUGUGGCUGCCACGUGGAAAAAAUAUUUUUUAUACAUUAAAAAUAUUAUAAUAUUAACCCAAUUAAAAUAUUAAAAAAAACAUAAAAACCCUAACCUAGAUCCCCUUUCUCCCCCCUCUCUUUUAUGCAAUCCCUUCCCACUAUCCCUCACCCACCCCCCAGCGACCUCUCCCCAAGCGACCCACAUCCCUAUCCCUAACCUAGAACCCAAAAACCUGCAACAAGAAGAAGAAAAAGAAGAAGAUGAGGGAGGAAAAAAAAAACCCCCAGUUUGUCCCCUCUUCAAAACCUGCAAGAAGAAGAAGACGAAGAAGAGGGAGAAAAAAAAGAGAAAAAAAAGAAAAAAAAAAGCCCAGUUCGCGGGAAGGUCGCCGAAAGGUCGCGCGAGGGGGGGGGAAGGGAAGUCGGUCGCGGGUCGCGGCAGAGCGGGGGGAAGGGAGAUGGGUCGUGGGUCAUGGCAGGGCCGGGGGGGUUUUCUUUUUUUUUUCUUCUUCCUCCCUCUUCUUCUUCUUCUUUUUGUUGUUGCAGGUAUGUGGGUCGCUUAAAGGGGGUGAAGUCUUUGGGGGUGGGGUUCGGGGUGGGUAAGGGAUAGUGGGAAGGGAUUGCAGAGAGGAGAGGGGGAAGAAAGGGGAUCUGGGUUCAGAGGGUGUGUAGAGAAGGAAAGAAGGUGGGUGCGGAGGAAGAGAGGGUUGCGGGUUAGGGGGGUGCACAGGGAGGGUCGACGUUUGGGGGGGGGGGCGGGGGUGUUCUGGGUUUCUGGUUUUGGGGUGGGGGGUUAUCAUUUUUGGGUUUUAGGGAACAAGAUGAAGAUGGGGGAUAUAGGUUUGGGGGUUGCUGGGAGAAGAGAGGAUUUUGGGAGUUGCAAAAGGGUGGGGGUGGGGGAGGGGGGAAGGAAGGGAUAUGGAAUUCGGGAUUUUCUAGUUUUUUUUGUUUUUUUAAUUGGGUUAAUAUUAUAAUAUUUUUAAUGUAUAAAAAAUAUUUUUUUCUACGUGGCAGCCACAUCAGCACAAAUGUGGUAGCCACGUCAACAUUUAACAGACUAAUGGAUGAAAAAUCUAACGGAGGUGUUAUUUUGAAAUAAAAUGGCACUGGAUGUAUGAAAGUGAAAUGUUUUAAAGUUGUUCUAUGGGGUUGUAAUUUACCCUCAAAUCUGAGGGGUUACUAUGUAAUUUACCCAAAUAACUAAUAUAUUAAUACUAAGAUAAGGGUAAAAUAUAUGGUAAUAUGGACUUAUCACUAAUCCUUAUAGCUACCUCCUGAAGAGGAUAUUGACUUCCGAUCCGUUAUCGAUUAGGACUCUGCCGACCAUAGUGUCUUUGAUUUACAACUUGACUGCAAGAGUGCCAUUGGAUGGUGGGUAAACAAUUUAUGGCCUGGUUAAGGGAUCUUUCAUCCAAGGUUUUCCUUGGGUCAUUUUCCUUCCCUUCUGCGCUUUCUUGAAAUACUAUUGUCUUCUCCUUAUGUGAUUGAUGCCUGGAUGGACUUCAUGCCUAGGUGUUAGGGAGGCAGUGGUUAGGGAAUUUCCCGCAGUCUUGUAAAUUACACUACUAGGAGGGCUUCCUAGAUCAACUAUUGUGAAUUUGUCGUUCCUGGGGGAGCUCGAAUAGUAGAAUUUUCAAAUCGGGUGAAGGUACCUUCUACAGUUUUCAUUCUUUCAUUCAGCCUAGCGAGCUUCACCCUUUCUCCUACUUGUAGGUUCUUCUUGAGCACUUUUAUUGACAUGUGUACCUUCAGGACGUUAUCCCAGACCUGGUCGAUGAAAGAGGCUUCUUCUCUAUUCGGGUAUACGGUUUGACCAAACAGCAAUUUUCUGGACGUGGUAUCCGUGGAGCAAAGUGGUCUGGUCGAGAGGAAUAUGGGUUUUCUUUUAAUGAAAGCACCAAUUGUUGAAACCAAAUCUACGCACCUCCGUGAGCGGCGGUUGGGCACAAAUCCGAGUAAACCUGAACAACCUACAAAAGGCUCUUCGAUAGUCAAGCAGUAGGCAAGAGAAUUCAAAUGUAUAGGUUACGUUACUGUAGAUGAACCCUAAACGGGUGUAUUUAUACUAUGAGAGAGAGACAUUUUUAGGAUAGAUCCUCAUUUUAAGCCGGGAGAAUCAUAGAGGAUAUUAGUGAGUAGAUAUUGCAUCUUCUUAGGAGUUGUGAUCACUUGCGGAGCAUGCCUAUCCCUAAAUUGUAGGGACUCCAAGACUUAUAGGAUCUGAUUGUGUCCAUAUCCAGAUCACAUCACAUGUCUUGCAAAACAAGUAUGGUCAUAUGGUGGAGUCACUAGGACUCUGCCUAGGGCCCCAUAGUAGAGUGAUGGUGGCACCCUUCUCCAUUUGAUACAGCUUCACCCGGAGUUGGUAGUGAGUCCAUGAUUGAACUCUUGAGAUAACGGUAUUCGGUUUAGCCUUACUCCGAUCCUGAAAAAUCAUGGUCCCACAUGAGCAGACAAACAUAUUUAGGUGAUUCUGUAAAUGAAUAAUUCCAUCGUGUAUUACGGUGCUCCUACAGAAAAUGGUCCCAAAUUUCUAUCACUUCCAUUCAUUUAUCAGCAAUAGCCCAAACGCCAAACCUCAUUUUUUAAAAGUCACCUGGUAUUAAGCUAAAUAAGUCAAUUAAUUAAGUAUGUAAUUGAGUAAUUAACUAAUGGUGGUGAGAUGAUGAGAAAUGGAAAGUACAAGAGUAUCCUGCACAGAACCACCGUAAACAAGGACAAGACAAGAAUGUCAUGACUAGUGUUAUUGGAGCCGCCAGCAGGUCCUCAUUUACAGCUUGUGAACGCCGACAAUCCACCAGAGUAUAAGACCAAGAAGUAUGGCUACCAUGUUUACUGUAAGAUCAACAAGCAUCCCCAGUAAAUAAAAGAAAAACUAACGAAAAGUUAAAAAAAGACUUUAGUUUUAAUGAAAAAUGACAAAUAAAGGUGUAAUGAAUAGUAUCAGGGAAAAGUAAAAAUGUGAUUUUUCGUUAAAAGUGAACAAUACCAGGAGUAUUUGUUAAAACUCCCCAUAAAUAAAUACUAUGAAGUGGGUGGUUUUUGUUUUUUUUAUUUUUAUUUCCUUAUUUUGUGUUGGUGAAAUUGUGGGUGGUGAGUACCAUAUUUGUAUGAAAUAAUAAUUUGAAGUCAAGGUGAUGAGCAAAAUCUUACUCGAUUGUAUAUUAUUAUGGAAGUUGAGAUUUGUUGUCGGAUUCGACAUUCUUCUUAUCCCUCUAACUCACAACAAGUCUGAUCAAAUUCUCAUUUGGUGUCCAAGAUAAAUUUGAAUGAAUAGCCCACAAUAUUUAUUGUAUGUUGAACAAACAAAUGAAAAUUUUGUAUCCAAUUUAAAGUAAAAGAUGAAUUACUCAUACAGAAAACUUGUACAUUCAAAUUUCCUCCAAAAUGACAAGAUUCUUUGGGACACUUUGGAUGCGAUCCCUAGCUAUCAAUAUUCUUUGAUUGAAACCUUGUUAGUUUUUAGUUUUUGAUUGAGGUCCCUGAUAUUAAUGUAAUAAUGUAAGUUACUAUAUUUUUUUAAUUAAAAAUUAAAAAUUGAAAUUUGUAAUUGUUUAUAUUAAUGAGAUUUUAAAUAAAACCCAUAAUUUAUGGGAUUAAAAAUAAUAAAAUAUAAAUUAUUCUCUCUAUUAUAUUGUGUGUGUGUGUGUGUGUAUAUACAUAUAUGUAUGGGUACAUUAACCAAAAUUAACAAAAAAAGUUAUUGUACCAAAACAUGGAUACAUUCUCAAAUCAACGAAAAAGAAUGUACCCAUAUAAGUUUAAACAUGGAUUAAAAAAUUUGAAUGGAUUUUAUAUUAAAAAAGGGUACAUUUUACAUAUAACAAAUUGAUAUAUUUGAGAAUGGGUACAUUUAAGAUUAAAAAAAUUGAAAAAUUAUAUGAAUGGGUACAUUUAAGAUUAAAAAAUUGAGAAUCUUUUUAUAUAUAAAAAAAACUAAUAGGUACAAACUUAAUUUAAUUUAAUUUUUUAUUAUUUUGGAAAUGUUUGAAUUGAAAAUUAAUUAGAAGUUUAAUAGAGGUGUGAGUAUUAAACCCUAAAUUAAUUACUAAUUUUUAUAUUAAAAAAAUUAUAUAAUAAACAUGUAAAUUCAUUAUCACAUUAAUGCUAGGGACUUGAAUCAAAAUUAAGAACUAAUAAGGUGUUAGUCAAUGAACAGUAAAAACUAGGGACUGGAUACUAAUUUUUCCUUAAAAAUAUAACUUUCAUUCAUAUCUACUCAAAAUGAAGAAAACCAUUUACCUCUACAUUCAUCUUUAUGUACUUGGAAUUUUACGAGUUAUCUAUUACAAUCCUAGAAAUCAAAUGACCUUAAGAAACAAAGAAUCAGAAUAUUUAAACUUAGGACAUUGGAUACAAAAGUGUAUAUUCUUAAUCACUACAGUUCAUUUCUUAAACUUUUAUAGUUUAGAAUGCAUAAUCUAUAAAAGCUUUAUUUACAGAAGAAAAGAAAGAAAAUGAGGAGACACGAUUGAUUUGUACAAAAAUAAUAUUGUACAGGCAAAGUCACAUCCCAGAACCAAUUUUGGGAGAGGUUUUGUUUGUUUGCAAGUAAAACAAGUAGAUGUUUUUAACCUUUUACCCUCCAAAACAAGUUCAAGAACGUUCUACUAGUUAGAACAAUAAUAGUAGGGUGGAAUGCUGAUUUAAUCUCUGAAUUAUUACCUCAGUGAAAAUUAGGUCCCUGAAUUAUUUUUCGGUAAAAUAAGUCCCUAAAUUCAUUAAAAAUUGCUAAUUUCAUCCAUACUACUAUAUUAAAAGCUAGUUUAUCACUUUUUUGUCAACUUAAGUCACUUGACACAUUUUAAAGUAAAAUACCAACAUUUUCUCACGUAUAAGCCAUUAACAUUUCAUACAGGUUACCAAUCUAAGGUCUAAUUUUUACCCUCCAAAGUUAACUUCAUAUACUAUUUCUUUAUGUAAAAUUACUAAUCUACUCUCUAAUGUGUAUCAUAUGCAAGUACCUUGACUUAAGUUGACGGAAAAUUGAAUAUAAUAGCUUUGAAUAUAAUAUUAAGGAUGUAAUUGGCAGAUUUUUAAAAUUCAAUGAUUGAUUUUCCUCAAAAAAAUAAAAAUAUUAAAGACCUAACUUUUACUCAGGUGAUAAAUUAUUCAGGAACUAAAUUGGCAGUUCACUCAUAGUAAUAAUGACAGACCCCGACCUAAAUCAGGGCGUGCUAAUCGUCACGUGAGGGUGACGUAGCCAUGUGCACAGUGUGGAAGCAAUAGAGAUAAAAGGAAAUGUGAAUGAAUAAAAACCAUACUACUAAAAGUCCUAGCUAAAAUAAAGUGCUAGUGUGAGAUUAAGUGUGAAAUACACCAUCAAAGCAUAAAUAGUCUAAGUGCAGUUCAACUGGAUAAGUACUAAUUAUAUAACACCCGAAGGUGAUCCUACAUUUAAUAUUCUGUAAGAACCACCGACGAAAUCCCCAUGAGCCACCAAAGCACUUCUACUUAAAAUCUGGAGGGGCGCAAAACAGAAAGUGUGAGUGGGCAAAAACAAAGCUUUUCAAAAUCAGUUCAUUUAUCAAAAAACGCUAACCCCUUGUCGUAAAACCUGUAUAAUUUCCUAAAAAAUAAUAUAUGUUAUAUCAGAAAUCAUGCUCAGGAUGAAAAUCCAUAGAAAUAUAUCAUGCCAAAGUAUCUCAAAGAAAUGCUAUAAAUUAUUCAGUUAAAAUAUAUCAAUACCAGAUAUCAUAUCAGCCGGAUCCACCUAACAUGACCUGCCCAGUUGAGUUUAUAACUCAUAACCAAUCUUAAUCAUAUCAAAUCAUGCACACGAGUCGGAAACACCUAACGUGGUCUGUACGACAAGACUAGGUGUAAAAUAAAUAUGCUCUAGUGCUAUGAUCACGUGAAGACUAUGCAUAUGAUCACGGUUCACCUACGAGUCAGAACCACCUAUAGUGGUCUGUAGGACAAGCCUGUGCACCUAACUUGGAUCCAAGGUAAGCAUAUGGUGCAGGAGGUGAACAUCACAUGAAGGACUGUGCCUUAACUCUGGGCAGGAGCACUAACACCAGGGUGCAGGUUUAUGAGCUCUCAUUGCAUCACAUCAUAUCUCGCAUAACUAAAUCAAUCUCAUAUAUUUAAUUUAUGAACUUACCUGGCACUUACCUGUGCGUCCGCAGCACCAAUCAUAAAUAUAUGCUACUAUUAAUGCAUAAAUAAAAUAGGCAGAUACUUUGUAUGGCAUUUCAAAACGUAUAAUCAUUCAAAUUCAUUUUCUGGGAAAAAUCUCAAGUAUAUAGGUAUAUACGGAAAACCAAAAGCCCACUCACCGGUAUGUCGAAAGGUUGUAGCCCCCGAGCCUCGAAUGAUGGCGCUCGUCCUCUAGAUAGGUCUCACCUAUAUGCGAAAUAACUAAAUAAAUGUUAAUUAAAGCACACAACCACAAUUAGCUAAUAACUUCUUAUACAAUGCUCAAAUGAGGUGUUUGAAUAUACCAACGUGAUCUACUCAACACCACGAACAUCCCCAUAUUUUUAGAAAAAAAUUUCGAGCAUCCAAACACCCUCACGCGCUGGCCAAGGCACGGCUAGACAAGCGGCCCACUUGCAGGCACGUGCCUGGCACACCAAACGGAUUCCCUAACGGCGUUAAGGAAUAUUCCGUUAAAAACCAACAUAUACCGUUAAAAUUACCUGACAGCAUUAGCAUAUUCCGUCAACUUUGACGUAAUAUUCUCCUUCUUCCUCCUUGGUUCGCCGGAGUCUAGCGCCAAUGCCGUUGCUAUCAUCGGAAACUGGAAAAAUCCUAAAAACUUCAUAUCUUUUUCGAUUCUCAACCAAAAUUCAUGAAAUUUGUCUCAAAAUGAAGCUUAGAGUGAGUAGAACACAUUCUUACCACUUUCAAGCCUUGAAAUCCAUGGAAACUCGCCAAAGAAACCUCGAUAAUCCUGCCAAAAUUUGAAACUCGUCAAACUAAGCUUCCCGACGUCCAAAACAGUCCAACUUUCUUCCCCGAGCUUCGUGAAGACGUCCUAAAACUCCCUGGAACCUUAAAAGUCAAAGAAAAGUCCACAAUCAUAACUGCAUGAACAGUGCUCAAAAUCGGGAUUCUUGGGUUCUUGAGUUUUUGAAGGAUUCACGUUCUAAAAAUGGUAUAGAUGUGUUCCUGAGCUCACAAGGAACAUGAAGAUGGCUUCCAAAACCUCGAUUUGCGAUUAAUGAGCUAGGUUCGAGUUUGUCCGUACGGUUGUACGAAAAUGGAAAAAAAUCUGAUAGGGAGGAGAGAGAGAGUAAACGGGAUUGGUUGGUGUGUGUGUAUGGUCUAGCUUUGGGCUACUAACAACAACAAACCAUUAACUUUAAGUUCCGAAAACUUAGGAACUUAACAUAUUGGUCCACCUCUAAAAGUACGUCACACACAACACAUCUCAACGUUUAAGGGUAAAAUAGACAUUUCACACUAUCGAUAAAAAUAAUUUGGGACUGGCUGUGACAACCUACCUUCCUUAAGAAAAUUUUAUCCUCGAAAUUCACACAACAAAUACAAUCCACUAAUAAUCAUAAAACAACCUUGCAUACAUAUCCCUCAUCCUGUCCUCUGUCUCCCAAGCAGCUUCUUCCAUUGAGUGAUUUCUCCAUAAAACUUUCACUAAGCGCACGGUCUUGUUCUUCAGCACCUUAUCUUUCCAAUCCAAUAUCGUCACUGGCUCCUCAUCAUAAGUCAAAUCUGGAUUAAUUUCCAAAGGUUGAGGAGGUAUCACAUGUGACGGAUCUGAAAAAUAAUGACGAAGCAUGGAAACAUGGAAAAUGUCGUGCACUUUAGAUAACUCUGGAGGCAACUCAAGCCUGUAAGCAACUUCACCGACUCUCUCGGUGAUCACAUAUGGUCCGAUAUACCUAGGACUUAACUUACAUUUCUUCCCAAACCGAACCACACCUCUCCAUGGUGAAAGCUUAAAAAAUAUCCAAUCACCCACUUUAUACACCCUGCCAAUGGCGUGUUUUUCUGCUAAACUCUUUUGUCAAUCCUGGGCAGCUUUCAGGUUAGAUUUAAUUACUUGAAUAUUCUGAGUAGUCUCAUCCACAAUCUUAGGGCCCACCAAAACUCUUUUGCCAACCUCUGACCAACAUAAAGGUGUACGACAAGACCUGCCAUAAAGUGCCUUAAAUGGUGCCAUACCAAUACUUGAAUGAAAACUAUUGUUGUAGGCAAAUUCCAUUAAAUCCAACCGCUUAUGCCAAACGUCACUAAACUGCAAUACUGAAGAUCUCAGCAUAUCUUCCAGCGUCUGAAUAGUCAUCUCUAAUUGUCCAUCUAUUUAAGGAUGAUAUGAUGUACUAUAAAGUAAUCUCGAACCAAGAGCUUCCUGGAAUGCUAUCCAGAACUUAGAAGUAAAUCUAGGAUCACGAUCCGAGAUAAUACUAACUGGAACUCCAUGGUACUUCACAAUCUUCGAUAUGAAUAAUUUAGCUAAUCGGCUUAAAGAAUACUUCUCCCUCACAGAAAUAAAAUGUGCCGACUUAAUAAGCCGAUCAAUUAUCACCCAAAUGCCAUCAUAACCAUUCUGUGUACGAGGAAACUUGUACACAAAAUCCAUAGUAAUAUUUUCCCAUUUCCACUAUGGAACGGGAAGUGGCUGCAUCAAUCCAAAAGGUUUCUUUCUUUUUGCUUUGACAUGCCACCUACUCACAUAUUCGGCAAUUCUCUUUUCAUACCUGGCCAAUAAUAAAAUGGUCGAAUGGUAUGAUACAUUUUAGUACCUCUUGGAUGCAUUGCAUAAGCUGAAAUAUGUGUUUCAUCAAGAAUUGCUUUCUUUAAUUCCAUAUUAUUCGGCACAUACAUUCUACUUUCCUGCAUAAGCAUGCCAUCAGUUUCUCGAAUUCUGAAGUCUUUCUUCUUCCCCCGAUUCCUUGCUUGAAUUAUUUCCUGGGUCUCUUCAUCAUCCAUCUGGGCUUCAAGUACAUGAUCAAUUAAUAUUGGCCUGACUUGAAAUUUUGCAAGUAAGGCUUCCUCUCGAUCUUCCACUCCUAACUUCACUCCAGUGGACCUUAAAUCCGUAAGAAGAGGAACAUGACAAUCAUAAAUGACAUUAAGUCUAAUUGAAGGAACUUCAAGAUCAAGCCCCAACGACCCUUUGAAGGAACUUCCACCAAUUCAAGAUCAAGCCCCGACGGCCCUUGAAGAAAGCGUUCAUCGUUCAUCAUCCGUUCAUCCUAAGAUCAAGCCCCAACGACCCUUUGGAUCAACAACAUCAACAAAUCCACAUAUCCAAUCGUUUUUCAAGAUAAAGCCCAAAAUCCCUUGAAGAUCCAUUCAUCAACUGUUCAUCAAGAUCAAGCCCCAAAGGCCUUUGAAGAUCCGUUCAUCAACAAUUCUUCAAGAUCAAGCCCAAAAGCCUUGAAGAUCCGUUCAUCCAUCAACCUUCAAGAUCAAGCCCAAAGGCCCUUAAAGAAACUUCCCUCAACCUUCAAGAUUAAGCCCCAAUGGCCCUUGAAGAAAACUUUCAACCGUUCAUCCAAGAUCAAGCCUCGACGGCCCUUGGAUCAAUCGCACAUCCACAAAUCAACACCUUACGGAGAUCGAAUCAGAGGAUCAAAUUUGAGAGAGAUUGUAACCCCUAAAUCAUUAAUACAAAUAUUAUUUUGUACACGUGUUCUUGUCUCGUUCGUUUAGAAAUUUCCGUGUUUACAAAUUUGGCACGCCCAGUGGGACGUUCUCUAUCUUUGAAUCCGUAAAAAGCACAAAUGGCAUCAAAGAAGACUCAAGUCGCUCUCACAACCAAUGCAAGGAAUAAGAGCGUCAUCACCGCAGGUGGUGUCACUUCGGGCGUCACAACUCGAAGCAAGGCAAGAGCUCUUUCUGCCGCCUCUUCUAUUCCUGCAUCAACUCUGCCGAAGGAACAAGAGCACCCGAGGCACGAACCUAUGAUCAUCCUGGCCUCGCUAAGGGCGCUAAGGAAGGAAAGCCCAAGGAAGUACUCUGGUUCCAUGUUUUCCGAUGCCGACUCAAGCGGCAGCUCAGCCAUGCAAGUCAUGACUACUAGAGCAACUUCAAUCGAUGAGCAGUUGGCUCAUAUGAAUGAAGCGAUCGCAAGGCUAACACGGAUUGUGGAAGAAAAAAACCAGCAAAUCGUCUCACUCGUCAACCAACUAGAUGUAAAGCCCGACGUGAAAAUCGAGCAAGGGGAUGAUCCAGUAAAGAAGGAAAACGACGAGGAUGAAGAGCCUCAUGUGGAGAAAGUCGAAGAGAAACUAAAGCUAGACCAAUCAGCGGUAUUCAUAGGAUCUCUCUCGAUCCAGCAGCUGCAGGAGAUGAUCGCCAGCACCAUCAAGGCACACUACGAAGGAAGUUCACAUGACUCCGUACUAUACUCAAAACCCUACUCCAAGAAAAUUGACGUUUUGAAGAUGCCGAGGGGUUAUCAGCCACCAAAGUUCAUGCAGUUCGAUGGAAAGGGAAACCCGAAGCAACACGUUGCACAUUUCGUCGAAACCUGCAACAACGCGGGGACAUAAGGAGAUUACCUCGCCAAGCAGUUUGUACGCUCGCUGAAAGGAAAUGCCUUUGAGUGGUACACGGACCUAGAGCCUGAGUCCAUCAACAGCUGGGAGCAAUUGGAAAGAGAAUUCCUCAACCGCCGCACUGUGAGCAUACUAGAGCUGACGAGCACAAAACAAUGGAGGGAUGAGCUAGUUGUAAACUACAUUAAUCGAUGGCGCAAUCUAAGCCUCGACUGCAAGAACAGGCUCUCAGAGAUCUUUUCAAUCGAGAUGUGCGUCCAAGGCAUGUAAUGAGGGUUACACUAUAUCUUUCAAGGUAUUAAACCACGGACCUUUGAAGAGUUAGCCACCCGUGCCCACGACAUGGAGCUAAGUAUUGCCCAUCACGAGAAGAAAAAUUCGAUCACCGACUUCAAGAAGGAUAAGGUGUUCUCCCCAAAUGUAGACAAGACUGGGAAGAAACCCCCCAAGGAAGCGUUCACCGUCAGCACUGCACCUGUCAAGACCGCCUUUGCACCUAUCAAGAUCUCCUCCAAAACCAAAGCAAAGGAGAUAAAGAGAGGUGAGCCUCCUCGCACCCAAGAAAGGUACAAAAGCACCUUAAGGGAAUUGGAGCAGAAGGCGUACCCUUUUCCUGACUCAGACAUGGAUGCAAUGUUAGACGACUUGCUGGAAAAGAAGGUAAUCAAGCUACUCGAAUGCAAGUGGCCUGAAGAAAUGAAUCGCAUAAACGAUCCUAAAUACUGCAAGUACCAUCGAAUCGUGAGCCAUCAUGUGGGUAAGUGCUUUGUCCUCAAAAAGCUCAUCAUGAAGCUAGCAUAACAAGGGCGAAUCGAGCUCAACCUCGAAGGCACGGCCGCAACACAUACUACUACAAUUACAUUUGGAUCUUUCGAUCCUGUACCUCUUCAAACAACACUUGACCAUUCCUAUCAAUGCUCAAGUUGCACGAUACCUUAUGCGCAACCAUCGCCGGGGGCAAACGAACAAGAUGCACAUACCGAUGAUGAAGAAGGAUGGACAUUGGUGACCUACAAAAAAACAAGGAAACCAAAACCACAAGCCAUAAGACCAAAUGUGGAACAAGUGAGAAAGCAUCGUCGCCGCAACAAUAAGAAGCCCAAAAGAAACAUAAAAGCUGAUAAGCCAACAUAUGUUGGGGAACCUAUGGAGCAAGAGACACGCAUUCCUGUCUCCUUGCAUGAGUAUUUCUCGAAUGACUUCUUCCAACAGUGCACUAUCGCUGCAUGCCACAUGGUCGAAGUAGAAAUGGAAGAACCUUCAAAAGGCAAAGAUAUCACCACUGAGGGAGAAAAAACUCUCACGCUCGAAGAAGGUCUGCCAAUACACCUUAGCAUUGAGGAAGCGCUACGAUUGCCAAAGAAGAUGCGAAGAGCAUUAACAGCGGUCUUGGAAAGUCCCAAUGACCACGAAGCGCAAGAAAGCAAAGACGAAGGCUUGAAGCUUCAACCACAUGAAUACGCCACAUGUUGUGCCACCUAUGAUGCAAUCAACUUCACUGACGAAGAUUUACUACUGGGAUCAAAGCCUCACAACCGUCCUCUUUUUGUCUCGGGAUACGUAAAAGAGCACAAAGUCAACUGCAUGCUUGUGGAUGGUGGAUCAGCCAUCAACAUCAUGCCAAAGUCAACAAUGGCUACAAUCGGCAUCAAGGUGGAUGAACUGUCCUUAAGUCAUAUACUAAUCCAAGGUUUUAAUCAAGGAGGACAAAGAGUGAUGGGCAUGAUCCGUGUGGGGAUGACUAUUGGUGAACUCAAGUCAAGCAUGAUAUUCCACGUGAUUGAUGCAAGAACUUCCUACGACUUGCUCUUAGGAAGGCCUUGGAUCCAUGCAAAUAGAGUAGUACCGUCCACCCUUCACCAAUGCUUAAAAUUCUACUGAGAAGGAGUGAAGGUGAUCUAUGGUGACACCAAACCAUUCACCGAAGCCGAAUCACAUUUCGCAGACGCCAAGUUCUACAUGGAUGAAGACAUGGUGCCCAAACACCGUCAACAAUAAAGAAUGUGACCUCACUGAGACUCAAAAGAAGUUGAAGAAGCAUGGUUACGGAGUUGACAACGACAAAGCUGGACUUGGCUUCACACCAAAUGCACACGUGAAGAUUUCAAGCAAAGCAAAAAAUGCUAGCACUCAACACAUCAGCGUGAACAUUGAACAAGAUCAAUAGAAGCUUAAGUCCGCCCUUCGGACGUUAGUCUUUGAUAGGAUGAAUCGUUCAAGACCCAGAACGUCAGCACUUGAUCGCAUUGGUGGUCAAAACCCAACCUCCGUCUUCAAGAGGCUUAACAGGCCAACAUCCCAGCUCUCCUUCUCGUCGGUCGACUUUGGAAAGACUUGAAGACAACAGGAAGUUUUCUAGAAAUAGGGAGACAACGUCAAAGGAAGAAAAGCUCAACAGGCUAGCAGAAAAAGGCGAUAUUUGAAGCUGAAUUCCUUCAAGGAUGAAGUGCCAAGCAAUCUUGAAGGUUGACACAAAUGGACCACUGAAAGUAAGAAGGUGCAUCAUCAUCCGCACUGGACAAUCUUCAUGCCAACAAGCCCAAGAGGAUGACACUGAAUGGGAGAUCCAAGACAUCUUCCUCGUCACAAUUCAAAAAGGUAAAGGAGAUGAAAUCCCUAAGGAAGAAGUCACCUCUGUUUCUUUCGACUCAAAGUCGCCACCUCAAUCGCUAGGGGCAUGCUCCAAGUCAAGCGAAGUUGAAGGAGGGACUCAUGUCGCUUCAAAGAAAUUACACAUAAAGCCUACGUCACAUUCACAAAUGCACCAGUUGAAAAGGGGGCAAGAAACCAUUGUUAAUACACUUUCAAGCCUGGAUGAAGUUGAGAUCGACAACAUGAUCGAAGGUGAUCUAAUUUAAGAGGUCGUGGAUGCAGGACGAAACUUAAAUGUUGCCUUUAAAAAAUCAGGGGAACUCCGCGCUUGCAUAGAUUCUCGUAACUACAACACCCGAAAGAACAACACCGAAUAGGAAGUCCAAGAUGUCUUCCACAUCACGGUCCAAGAAAGCAAAGAAGACGAGAUCCCCGAAGAAGAUGUCACUGCUGUGCCACUGCAACUUGAGGAUGGGGGGAAUCCACGGUUGAUGAUCUCAAGGAGCUCAACUUAAGCACAAAAGAGGAGCAGAAACCUAUCUUUGUAAGUGCGCUGCUAAGUGCGGACGAGAUAGAGGAGUAUUACCAAUUGCUAUCAGAAUACAAAGACGUCUUUGCUUGGACCUACAAAGAAAUGCCUGGCCUUGACCCUAUCAUUGUUGUGCAUCAUCUUGCAGUCAAGCUUGGAACGCGACCGAUAAGGCAAACUCAAAGGCGUUAUUGAUCCGAGUUCAUUCCACAAAUCGAGGUAGAGAUUGACAAGUUAAUCGAAGCAGUCUUCAUUUGGGAGGUGCAAUACCCCAAGUGGAUCUCCAACAUCAUCAUCGUCCUUAAGAAAUCUGGACAAAUACGUGUUUACGUAGACUUCCGGGACCUCAACGACGCUUGCCCGAAUGACGACUUCCCCUUGCCAAUCAUCGAAAUCAUGAUGGAUACAACCACUGGCCACGAGGCACUGUCAUUCAUGAAUGGCUCUUAUGGAUAUAAUCAAAUUCGUAUGGCUCUCGAAGACGAGGAACUAACAGCCUUCCGCACUCCAAAAGGUAUUUACUGCUACAAGGUGAUGCCCUUUGGUCUGAAGAACGCUGGAGCUACAUAUCAACGUGCAAUGCAGAAAAUCUUUAAUGACAUGCUACACAAAAACGUAGAAUGUUAUGUAGACGAUGUGGUGGUCAAGACAAAGAAAAGAUCAGACCGCUUGAAGGAUUUGCGAAUGGUGUUCGAAAGGUUGUGAAAAUACAACCUCAAGAUGAACCCGUUAAAAUGUCCAUUUGGCGUCACCUUCGGAAAGUUCCUUGGCUUCAUUGUCAAGCAUCGUGGUAUUGAAGUUGACCGAUAAAAAAUCAAGGCCAUUCAAAGCAUGCCUGAGCCAAGAAACCUGCAUGAGCUGAAAAGUCAACAAGGACGGCUAACCUUCAUCAGACACUUCAUCUUCAACCUUGCAGGGCGUUGUCAACCGUUCAGCCGACUCAUGAAGAAGGAUGUUUCGUUUGUAUGGGACGAAACAUGCCACAAUGCUUUUGAAAGCAUAAAAAAGUAUUUGUCAAGUCCACCUGUCUUGGGGGCACCUGUGCCCGAGAAACCACCAUAUUGUACAUCGCCGCUCAGGAAAGUUCAGUUGGAGCACUCUUGGUGUAAGAGAAUGAAUCCCAGAAAGAAUGAGCGCUCUAUUACCUCUGCCGAACUCUCACCGGCGCCGAGUUGAACUACUCCCCAAUAGAAAAGAUGUGCCUUGCCUUGGUGUUCGCCAUCCAGAAACUCAGGCAUUACAUGCAUGCUUACACCAUCCACUUGGUUACUAAAGCUGACCUAAUCAAAUACGUCAUGUCCAAACCAGUCUUGACGGGGUAACUCGCUAAAUGGGCAUUGCUUCUUAACCAGUAUGAGAUAAUCUACAUCCUAACUAAAGCUGUCAAGGGACAAGCACUAGCAGACUUUCUUGCUGAUCACCCAAUCCCAGCUGAUUGGAAAAUCUCAGACGACUUGCCUGACGAGGAAGUGUUCUACAUCGACAUCUUCCCGACAUGGACGAUGUUCUUCGACGGAUCUGCACGAGCAGACGGAGCAGGGGUAGGAAUAGUAUUCAUGUCGCCACAAAGGCAGAUAUUACCUUAUUCAUUUCAACUAAGCGAAUUAUACUCCAACAACGUCGCUGAGUACCAAGCACUGAUCAUCGAACUCCAAAUGGUGAUCAACAUGGGAAUCAUAGCCCUUGAGGUAUUUGGCGACUCCAAGCUCAUAAUCAAUCAACUCUUAACCGAAUAUGAGGUGAGGAAAGAUGAUCUUGUCCCAUACUUCCGGCUGGCAACUCAACUGCUACAAGAGUUUGAGAUUGUGACACUAGAACAUAUGCCAAGAAAAGAAAAUCAAAUGGCAGACGCUCUUGCCAACCUAGCCUCAAGCAUGACAUUAGGAGAAGACGAAGCUGCAGACGUGCCAGUCUGCCAAAGAUGGGUGACCCCCCUCGUCACCGAAAUGCUAUUGGAUGAUACAAAUGUCAUCUCAGUACUUCCAGUCGAUGUUAAAGAGUGGAGACAACCGCUGAUCAACUACUUAAAGCAUGGAAAACUUCUAGAUGAUCCUAGACACCGCUCCGAAAUACGUCAACGAGCACCUCGCUUCCUUUACUACAAAGAAACACUCUACCGGCGCUCUUUCGAAUGAGUACUUCUGAGAUGCCUAGGCGAGGAAGAAGCCAAUCAAGCCAUGGAAGAAGCACAUUCAAGCGUGUGUAGGGCGUAUCAGUCUGGACCAAAGCUGCAUUUCCAGCUCAAAAGGAUGGGUUAUUACUGGCCAAGCAUGGUGAAGGACUACCUGGAACAUGCCAAAAGGUGCAAAGCCUACCAAUUCCAUGCCAACUUCAUACACCAACCACCUGAGCCAUUACACCCUACAGUUGCUUCAUGGCCAUUCGAUGCAUGAGGAUUGGAUGUCGUAAGACCAAUUACCCUAAAGUCAUAUGCAGGAGAAGCUUACAUUCUAGCUGCAACAUAUUACUUCUCCAAGUGGGCUGAAGCCAUACCCCUAAGGGAAGUAAAGAAGGAAACCGUCAUCCAUUUCAUCAAGGAGCACAUCAUCCACUAAUUUGGGGUACCUUGCUACAUCAUCACUAAUAACGGAAAACAAUUCUCCAACCGACUCGUGGAUGAGCUCUGUGAGAAAUACAAGUUCAAGCAACACAAGUCUUCCAUGUAUCAUGCUCCGGCCAACGGUCUUGCAGAAUCAUUCAACAAAACAUUGUGCAAUCUUCUGAAGAAGGUGAUCGGUCGAAUAAAGAGAGACUGGCAUGAAAGAAUAAGCGAAGCACUUUGGGCAUAUCGAACGCCACAUAGGACUCCUACCCAAGCUACGCCUUAUUCUCUUGUAUAUGGCGUGGAAGCUGUUCUACCGCUCGAAAUCCAAAUCCCCUCACUAAGAAUGGCUAUACAAGAAGGCUUGACUGAUGAAGAGAAUGCAAAGUUGCGCCUUCAAAAGUUGGAAGCACUCGAUGAAAGAAGGCUCGAAGCUCAGCAACAUUUGGAAUGCUACCAAGCAUGGCUAUCCAAGGCAUUCAACAAGAAGGUCCGCCCAAGGUCUUUCCAAACUGGAGAUCUCGUCCUCACAUUGCGUAGGCUUAUCAUCACAACUCACAAGACAAAAAGCAAGUUCACAUCAAAGUGGGAUGGACCAUACAUAAUACAAGAGAUCUACACCAACGGCGCCUACUUAAUCACGGCAGAAGACGACUUGAAUAUUGGCCUUAUCAAUGGAAGAUUCUUGAAGCGCUACUACCCCUAAAAGGCGAUAACCAACGCUCUUGGUUCGCACGAGCCUAAACUGCACAAACCAAAGCUCCUGGCCCGCAAAAGCAUAAUCUGUAUACGGCAAAAUCAUCAUCAAAAUCAUUGUUAAAUUCAUCGCUCAUUUGAACUACGUUAUGACUUGAUCCCUCCUCAACUGAGGGUACGUAGGCAACUUGAAACUUCAAAACUUCAAGUACAGUCACACCAUCAAAACUUCAAAAAUAUAAAUACUUUAUUUCUUUAAAAGAAGAAGUCGGCUCCAAAGCCUUAUUACAAGAAAAAUAGAAGAUACUACUUGAAAACUAUGUCCCUAAAACUACGAAGGCGAUCUUCAAGCAAGCCUUCCAAAGUCUUCAAAGUCUCUACCUCGGUGGGAGACAAGAUGGGCAACUCCAUAGUCAUGCCUUUCUCUCGUUUUAGGCGUGAAAUCUCCUCCUGGUACUGAGAAGGUGUAGUUCCCUGCUCCGAGAGAACACUUUCAAGUUGCGAUGCUUCGAUUACCAACUGCUCUCGCUCUUGCACCAACGCAUCUAGACACACUUGGACAGAAGUUAAAGAAGUAUCUGUGAAUUGAUAAUCUCCCGAAGCAGCUUGCUGAGAAGACCGGACUUGAGCCAGUGACAAGUUUAUUGUUGCUAGCUGAUGAGCUAUAACAUUUGGACUCAACUUAUCCAAGGAAAUAGCACGCAAGGAAGAAUACUCAGUCGAGGCGGCCAUAAGGUCGGCAAUCUUGAUCUUCAACGAUGAAGAAGCAACGUUAAGGUUGUUAAUCACAGAAACAAGCUUCGGAAAAUCCUCUUUGAGCAACAUAUGGUCUUCCAACGGGCACUUAGAAAUCCUCUUCUCUAUAUGGCUCUUGAUAUCCAUUGUCGCACCAAGACUAAUGCGAUGGAUGACUUGCUCAGUACCGCUAAGGUUCGGCCCUCUCAAAGAAAUCUCAGAGCUAGCUGGCAAAGGUGUUGGACGCAUGACGGGUCGCCGAUCCUCGAUCUCCCUGUCUGUAGGUAGGUAUCCUACAAAUAGCAUCUCCAUAUAGGAAUAAACAUCUGCAGUUGCCAAAUCAAAAGGACGAGAAGGCCCAGCCUAAAGAAGGCAAAGAAAGAUGUUAGAAACAAAAGCCAAAAUGAUGAAAGCAGAAGAAAUCACGAAAAAAAAAAAUUGAAGUACAUACAUCUCUCUCAAAUGACACACGGUCAUCAAAUCGAUGAGGUCUAAACACUUCCUUCUUCUUAUGAUGAAAAUUGACAUCGCUGUCAACAUGAGCAUCCUCAAGUGGUCGCUUGUUUGAAACUUGUUCACGCUGCUGCAAAAUAAAUCCAUCUUCGUGUGAAUCAACUUCAUCUCCCACCUCUCUAGAAGCAUUCGGAUGUCGAGGAGACAAGCAAGGGCGUUGAUGAGCUAAAGCUACAGGUCUAUCUUGUAAGGGAGCCGUACUCGCGCAAUCAAGAGGUACCAGUUGCAUAGGAACCACAAGACAACCCUCUCUCGACAUAUCAUCACCUAAGUGAGAAUAAUUGGUAUCACUUGCCAUCCCCAAGCUCUUAUAAUGUACCUUUGACCACCAACAUGCGUAAACACGGGUCAUUGGAUUACUUUUGAACUCAUCAUUGGCUGGCAGCGUGAUAACAACAUUUGUGCAUGCACGGGUACAAGACUAUCAAUGCAUGUACACGGCUUGCAAGGAUGCCAAUUGGUUCUUUGCCUUCAGCUUGCCUGGCACAUUUUGGACAAAGCCAAAUUGCUUGCUGAAACGGUGGGGAUUAUAUGGCUGAACAAUGCAUCGGUCUUCUUGCCGUAAAGAAACAAACCCCGAGCGAAGACUUAUAAGAUAAGACAAGUCUGAGAAGCGGAGACGCGAAUUGUCUACGAUGCCUCGCCGCACCGGGCCAUCCUUAAAUCUUUAAAUCUUCACAACGUUUAAAUAGCGCUCGCGCUUGCAAAUCAUCAAGGCUCUUCGCGGAGAGCACGCUAGAAUACUUCGUCAUCAAAGGCCUCAGUUUGGCUCUAAUCGAUGAAAAAGACAUUGACUUGUCUAAAGUCAACAAAGAAAAAUGAGUGCCAAAAUAUUCACCCAACCAACCAUACACAUAGUGGUAAGGGAGCACUGCAGCAUGAUCUUCAGUGCUUGCCGAGUUCGAAACAAUGCUCAAGCCAUUAUAAAUGUUGGUUAAGACCGGAAUAGCAAGGCUAAAAGACUCCCCUGCAGCCAUCUUGCUAGCAACCUUGAAAACUCCAGGACAAACUAAGUUGACGUCGCCUGUUAGGAAAACAAACUUACAAAGCCAACAAGCUAAGAAAGCAGCUAGGUAAGACUCUUCCACAUGCUCUGAUGUUAUGCCAAGAUCCUCAAACGCUCUCAACUUGUCAGAAGAACGGCGCAUGGUUGAGCCAAUAACACCGGACGGGUCUGAGUCUCCCUUUGGCCUAGUGGUUUUAUUAUGGCCAUUUUUCUUCAAAGGCUUCUUAUACCUCAUGGCCUCCCAGUACCAAAAUCGGAUCCAUGAGGAAUUCCUCACGCCUGAUUUACCUUGAGCAUCCUGGAAAAGCUUGUGAUACGCCCAAAACAAACAGCGGCAACUCGCAGGCAAUCCUCGGUUAUAGCAAAGAGAAAGUUCAUUCACGCUGAGAACGACCUCGUCGUAAAACUUGCCUUGGAUCGGCAAGCCUCUUAUCCUGUGAAGAUCCCAAAGUGAAAUUGACAUCUCCCCUUGCGCCGUGUGAAGUGUGUUGGUCGUCGAACACCAAUGCUCAAAGAACGCACGAAGGACGGAAGGAUGGCGAUCAUAACUAAACAAAGAUGCGUACACAGCGUGGUAAAGGCCCACGUUAGUAAGCACAUCUUUAGAUCGGCUUAAGACAUCUUCAAGCCACACCCAAUAAAACUCAUCAGACGGCCUCUCCAGUGGUCGACAGGGUACCAUUCCAAGCCAUAGCUCCACUGCGGAUAUGAUCACCAAGAAGCUUAAACGAGGCCGAAUGAUUGUCAUGAUUAUGGUGCGAAUGAUUCAAGAUAAGAACCCUCGAUAUGCACACCUUCUUCUUCAUAUUUGGUCGAACAGAGUCUACCACCUCCCAAGAUACUUCAGAAGACCACGACUUAAUAUGCAUGGAGUUGUCUUUCGCGAGAAGAGCAAGCGCCUUAUAACCAGUCAGUGGCGUGUAAAGCUUCAACGUUGUCCCCUCAUCUUGCGAAUCGCCGUCCUUCGCAAGAAUGGUGAUGGUGUUGCUCUUAAAACACUUAAAAAAUACCAUGACUGCAAAAAAAAAAAAUCAGCCACAAAACUUGAGCACCACGGCAAAUAGGGCAGCUACAGAGCGUUCCUUUAAAGCACGCUACACUGGCGAAGAAAACCAAAAUGCUAUGCAAUCACACUACGUAACCCCGCUGCAGGCUCUUGCACAACACCACACGGCAGCGCACUACCAAGGGAAAACUGUGAUCAAAAGGCACUACACAGCAAAACCCCGUUACAGUCUCUGGCACAAGCACUAGGCAACCUGCUCACUCCGCCACCAACAACCAUGUCUCUAAAAGCUUCGUGAGAGUCUCGGCAUCAUGCUCUGCCUUCAUAAAAAAUAGACACAUCGUAUUUUAUAUAUAUAAGACAUACAUACCCACGGCAAGUGGCAAGGUCAAUGUGCAUGGCAACGUCACCACCAAGGAAAGUUGUGACCAAAAUGCACCACAUAGCAAAAUCCAGCCGCAGUCUUUUGCACAGCAACACGUGGUCUGCUCCAAGCUCCAAGCUCCAAGCUCCAAGCUCCAAAGUUCACCAGUUCGACAAGCAGCAAAGCAGAGAAGAACGUUCACAGCAGAAGGAGGUUAUGUCUAUGGUCAUUUUAUAAGCUCAACUUGUCCGUCCAAGUGAAGAAAAGAAAAGAAAAGAAAAGAUAUAUAUAUAUAUAUAUAUAUAUAUAUAUAUAUAUAUAUAUAUAUAUAUAUAUAAAAAUAAUAUAAUAAAAAAAUUUGGGUGCUUCAUGCACCAUGUAAAGAAAAUAUAAAAUAUAUGUAUAUAUUAUUAAAAAAUGUAGGUGCUUCCAGCACCAUGCAAGAAAAAUAAUUUAAAAAAAAAGGAAAAGCAAAAGAAGGUGGCCGGCCAUCAUUUAAAAAAAUUGUAAGGGCUUUGGGUGCUUCACGCACCAAGUUUUGGAAUUCUGGAGGUGCAUGUGCACCAUGCAAAAAAAAAAUUAAAAAAUUAAAAAAUUAAAAAAUUAAAAAAAAAAAAGAAGAAAAGAGAAUGAUAGUCAUCUUUUGUUAAGGGAUGGUGGUGUCCAGAAAGCAAAAGGGACAAACAUUCAAAUUGGGAAAAAGAAGGAAAAUAUUGAUGGUGCCAGUCUCACCGACAGUGAAAAAUACAUAUAUAUAUAUAUACACACACACACAGAAUGAAAUAAGGCUCAUUUAUUGAUUUCUCUGAAAAUUUACAUAAAUGUACAUUUUACAUAUGAAAAAAAAAAUUAAAAAAAAAUUAAAAAAAAUUAAAAAAUUAAAAAAUUAAAAAAUUAAAAAAUUAAAAAUUAAAAAUUAAAAAUAAAUACAGGAGGGAGCUUUCACGAAGGUUGCUCGUGUGAAGCCUCAUCACUCUGCGAAACUCCAGGAAAACUUUGGAGGUUGACUGUUUAGAGCCUCAACAUUCAGUAAAACUUUGGAGGACGAAGGCAAUAGAUGCCUUUGAAGUAAAGCCACAAACGUCCGAUGGUCACUCUGAAUCUGAUCUUCAGAUUCCUGCAGCUGGUCGAGCUUUCUUUUCAUGUUCGUUGAGUAACUAUUGGCAAGCAUGUGCAACUCUUUGUUUUCAUGCUUAAGCCUUCUAAUCUCUUGCUUAAGACUCGCCGCCUCAGCCAUCAGUGACUCGACUUGACGAGUUCGAGCAAGAAGGCGUUGGCCCAUAUUUGAUACAGAGCCCGCACACUGAACACUAAAAGCCAGAGAGUCCUGAACAGCCAAUCAUUAGACCGCUUGGAAAAGAUCCUAUUGUCCUUAGGGGUGAGAAGAUUCCUAGCUACCACCGUCGCGGUUAUGUCAUUCUUCAUCAUAGAGUCCCCAACUGUAAGAGGACCGGUGGCGGAUAAGAAGGACGGGCGCCAUACGUUGUCUGGAGAAGACAUAUCAACAUCUUCCCCAACAUUCAAAUCAAGACGACGAUCAGAUGGGCAAGCCAUUUGCAAAAAUGAUGAAAGAAGAAUAGGUCGUGUAAGUCGAAUUCUUAGAAAUGCAAAAUAAGGGAAAUUCCUAACAGGUAGCGACUCUCUAAGUGUGUUUUUGAACACGAUUCAUGCCUCUAUAAAAAGAAGAGGCAACAGGGCCUGUUCAAAAAUCGAAGAGGCAAUGUGGUCGUUCAGAAACCAAAGAGGCCCCUCUCCCCGAAUUUCAAAAAACUGAGCCAUUUGUUCAUAAAUCGAAGAGGCAACAAGGCCACCAGUUCAAAGAUCGAAGAGGCACCACUCUCUGAAUUUCAAAAAAGACCGGCUUUUCAGGAUUUGUCACCAUCCUUCACACGCAACCUCAACUUUGCGGAAAUCACGCACAACUUUGUAAAAGAUUUCUGACAAAGCUGAAAACGCGUGAAUCUUACUAUUUCAAUUACCCAACGGUUGCCGACAAGAGUAAAGGAAUAGUGCCACUACUGGCUAUUGGGAAAUUCCUAUAUAUGUCGACCUUCACCCUCCAUAGCAAGGCAGACCUGCAAAAAUGUCCAACCCUUCCUCAUUUCCGAGAGUACACUCCCAGCAAAGCCUAUUGAAAUACCCAGUUUUCUUCCUCUCCUGGAAUACCUCUGUAAACAAAUGACACCAAAGUAAAAGUAUCCCAUAUCAUCAGGGUAAAAAGCAAGAGUAUCUCAUAUCAUGCAAUCUCCCUAUCCUUUUCUUUGUCCUUGUUCUUACCUGCAAAGACAAGGAUAAAGAAAGCAAUAUGUCGGAACCUCCACUCAAACUCCGGGUAAGGAAUCGACUACCUGGAACCUUUGCCUGGUUGCUUACCUGGCAUUGCUCUAAAGUACUCGUCUUAAACUGCUGAUGUACUUCCGAAGAAGAUGCCACAUUUGCCUAGAGAACAGAUAAGGCAAGUGAAAAUGAUACCUUGAAGCAUGUGGAGACAACGUGUUGAUUUCCUUCAAGAUCAAGUCUCCCCUUCCCUGCACAAUCAAGCAACCCAGCAGAAGAAGUCUGAGUUGAAUCCAAGAGCUCGAGCUGCUUCAACAACAUAUUGACGGCAUCAUCAUCGAAGAGCAAAGCCUCGCUGUGCAACGCUGUCAAAAUUGCCACCAUUUAUUCGAAAGCAAGAGUAUUUCAUAUCAUGCUUUCUCUAUGUCCUUGUCUUUGUCCUUGUUUUUACCUGCAAGACAAGAAGAAGGAGAGCCAUCAGUCAGAACUUGAAAGUCAAACUCCCAGUCAGGAACCGAUUGCUUGGAACUUUUCCCUGAUUGCUUACGUAGCACUACUCUCGAAGUAUCCAUUAUCUCAACAUCUUAUACUUCCAGAUAAGAUACCACAUCUGCCCGAAGAACAGAUAAGGCAAGGGAAAAUGAUACAUUGAAGCAUGUGGAGACAAGCACAACAAAGCACAACAAAGCACGUGCCAAUUCAUCUGCUACUUCUUCAAAAUCAAAAGUAUCUCAUAUCAUCAGGGUUUCAAUCACUCUGGGUAGUGGACUCGUUUUGACCCUCAAAUUCUUGGGUCGACUUGCUAGGCGUUGUGGGCUGCACGUGCCGAUUCACCACCCUUGAAUCAAAUCCUUAAAGAUCAAGUCACCAACUGGAAGAAGAGCCCAUCAAUCUUGAAGAUCAUACCGUUGACCAAACUCCUCAAGUGUGAAUUAGAAAGAUUGAACAAAGCAACAAGUCAUCACCUUCACCUCGUGCCUGCUUGCCAUGUGUUCGAGUCAACCUUCAAGAAUCAAGCCUCAACGGCCCUUGAAGAAGCUUCCAGCCAAAUUCAAGAUCAAGCCUCGACGACCCUUGAGGAAAUCACAAGUCCGAUUCAAGAUCAAGUGUCUACCACCCUUGAAUCAAAUCCAGUUCAAUAAUAAGCUGUGGAAAGUCAACAAUUGGAGGAAACCAGAAAAUCCUCCAACCUAGUUCAAGAAUAAGCUUGUGGAAAGUCAACAAUUGGAGGAAUCCAGAAAAUCCUCCAACCCAGUUCAAGAUCAAAGCUGUGGAAAGUCAACAAGCGCAACAAAAUACGUGUCAAUUCAUCCACUACCAAAGCCAAGGAUCAUAUACCACAUGAAGCUCCUUGUGGUCUAAUUUCAACCUUCAAUAUCAAGCCUCGACGACCCUUGAAGAAAUUUCAAACAAAGUUCAAGAACAAGCCUCAACGGCCAUUGAAGAAAUCUCUAACCUAAUUGAAGAUCAACCAUCAAUGGCCCUUGGAUCGACAUCUACAUUAAGGGACUUCAAAACGCAUCUUCUACACAUAAUAAACACGUGUAUACAGCGUGCCUUGAAGUGGGGGCAUUUGUAGACAUCGAAAUUUUGGUGAAAUAAAUGUUGAUCAAUAAUUAAAAUUUCAACGUUCACGUGUCACAUAAAUUUUACACAUAGCAGGUGACUCAACGAAAAAUCGAGAAUCAUCAAAAAAGUCAUCAAACAGGACACGUGUCAACACCUGGCAGAAACGAUUUAUUUCAUCUGAAUAAUACAUUCAAAAUUAGGCUUUGGAAAAUUCUAUAAAUAGAAGCCAUUUCAUUCAUUUUGGGGACCCCAAUUCAUAACCAAUUCACCUCACACCAAAACCUUGAAGCUUUGAAACUCCAAAGCCCCAAGCAAAUCCCGAAAGAUCAAGAAAGCUCUCUUCGUUCUUCGUCAACCCAACCUUCAAGAUCAAGCCCCAACGGCCCUUUGAAGGAACUUCCACCAAUUCAAGAUCAAGCCCCGACGGCCCUUGAAGAAAGCGUUCAUCGUUCAUCAUCCGUUCAUCCUAAGAUCAAGCCCCAAAGACCCUUUGGAUCAACAACAUCAACAAAUCCACAUAUCCAACCGUUCUUCAAGAUAAAGCCCAAAAGCCCUUGAAGAUCCAUUCAUCAACUGUUCAUCAAGAUCAAGCCCUAAAGGCCUUUGAAGAUCCGUUCAUCAACAAUUCUUCAAGAUCAAGCCCAAAAGCCUUGAAGAUCCGUUCAUCCAUCAACUUUCAAGAUCAAGCCCAAAGGCCCUUGAAGAAACUUCCCUGAACCUUCAAGAUUAAGCCCCAACGACCCUUGAAGAAAACUUUCAACCGUUCAUCCAAGAUCAAGCCUCGACAACCCUUGGAUCAAUCGCACAUCCACAAAUCAACACCUUACGGAGAUCGAAUCAGAUGAUCAAAUUUGAGAGAGAUUGUAACCCCUAAAUCAUUAAUACAAAUAUUAUUUUGUACAUGUGUUCUUGUCUAGUUCGUUUCAGGAAUUUCCGUAUUUACAGAUUCAACUUUAAAUUAUAAACAGUCUCAAGAGGUGUCCUCUAAGGAGGACGAAAAGAAGACUGAAUAGCAUUAGCAAUAGCUUCUCCUAAUUGAGCAAUAUCGGGGAAACUAGGCUCAACAGCGGGACGUGGAUCUCUACGAGGCGCCAUAGUUCUGACAGAAGACAUCAAAAUAAUUAGAAAAUUCACAAGAUAUGCAAGACUGCAAACCUAAGCUCUGAUGAUGGUGCUCGUCCUCUAGAUAGGUCUCACCUAUAUGCGAAAUAACUAAAUAAACGUUAAUUAAAGCAUACAACCACAAUUAGCUAAUAACUUCUCAUACAAUGCUCAAAUGGGGUGUUUGAAUAUACCAACGUGAUCUACUCAACACCACGAGCAUCCCCAUAUUUUUAGAAAAAUUUUCCGAGCAUCUACGCACCGGCCAAGGCACAGCCAGAUGCACGGCCCACGUUCAGGCACGUGCCUGACACACCAAACGGAUUCCCUAAUGGAGUUAGGGAAUAUUCCAUUAAAAACCAGCAUAUACCGUUAAAAUUACCUAACGACAUUAGCAUAUUCCGUCAAAUUUGAUAGAAUAUUCUCCUCCUUCCUCCUUGGUUUGCUGAAGUCCAGCACCGGUGCGGCUGCUAUCGCAGGAAACUUGAAAAAUCUUUAAAACUUCAUAUUUUAUUCGAUUCUCAACCAAAAUUCAUGAAAUUUGUCUCAAAAUGAAGCUUAGAGUGAGUAGAACACAUUCUUACCACUUUCAAGCCUUGAAAUCCAUGGAAACUCGCUAGAGAAACCUCGAUAAUCUGGCCAAAAUUUGAAACUCGUCAAACUAAGCUUCCCGAGGUCCAAAACACUCCAACUUUCUUCCCCGAUCGUCGUGAAGACGUCCUAAAACUCCCUAGAACCUUAAAACUCGAAGAAAAGUCCAUAAUCAUGACUGCAUGAACAAUGCUCAAAAUCGGGAUUCUUGGGUUCUCGGGUUUUCGAAGGAUUCAUGUUCUAAAAAUGGUACGGAUGUGUUCCUGAGCUCACAAGGAACACAAAGAUGGCUUCCAAAACCUCGAUCCAUGAUUAGUGAGCUAGGUUCGAGUUUGUCCGUACUGUUGUACGGAAAUGGAAGAAAAUCCGAGAGGGAGGAGAUAGAGAGUCAACGAGAUUGGUUGGUGUGUGUGUGUGUGUGGUCCAACUUUGGGCUACUAACAACAACAAACCAUUAACUUUAAGUUCCAAAAACUUAGGAACUUAACAUAUUGGUCCACCUCUAAAAGUACGUUACACGCAACACAUCUCAAUGUUCAAGAGCAAAAUAGACAUUUCACAUUGUUGAUAAAAAUAAUCUGAGACAGGCUGUGACAAAUAAUGUUUAAAAGUGGUCCAAUGUUGGUUGUGUACAAAUCAUGUGGUGGUUGGUUGGGGAAAAUAUUUAUAUUUCGACAAGUAAACCAUUUUUAAGGAAUUAUGUAAUCAUAAAUUUUUAAUUUAAAUGGAUGUGCGGGGCUGUUUUUUUUCUUUCUUUUUCGAUAGACAUGAGGCGUGUGGGGAUUCUGCUUCGCUAUUUAAAAUACGGUGUACUUGUAGUUCAUUUCAUUUAUUGGUGAAAUAUUUAGGUUUAAAUCUGGUUAACGAAUAAGCCAAAUUAAAUUAUUAUAGUUGAUCUAUUGUGUGAUUUGAACCUAUAUCAUCAUUUUUAGUGUAAAUUAUAGCGUUAUAAUUUUUUUUUUUAAAGUCAUGCUGUUUUAUAAUAGUUUGAAUAUCUGGAAUAAAUCGUUUACCUUUACCUUCAUCUUUAUGUACGUGGAAUUUUACGAGUUAUCUAUUACAAUCCUGGAAACCAAACGAGCUUAAGAAACAAAGAAUCGGAAUAUUUAAACUUAGGACCUUGAAUACAAAAGUGUAUAUUCUUAAUCACUUGAGCUACAAUUUCUUUGUUAGACUUUUGUAGUUUAGAAUGCAUAAUCUAAUAAAAGCUUUAUUUACAGAAGAAAAGAAAGAAAAUGAGGAGACAUGUUUGAUUUGUACUAAAUAAUAGGGGUGUGAUAUCUACACAUCACGUUUUAACUUCUCACACACCCUCUUAAUUUCUAACCGUUAGAUCGAAUGAAUUAAAAAAAAAAUCAAAAGACAAAAAUAAUAAUGCUUAAAGGUGGUCCAAUGUUAGUUGUGUAAAAAUCAUGUGGUGGUUGGUUGGGGAAAAUAUUUAUAUUUUCAAUUUAAAUGAACCUGUGGAGCUUUUUUUUUUUUUUUUUUUUUUCUUUGAUAUUUUGAUACAGACAUGAGACGUAUGGGGCUUGUCAAAAGAGUCAUUCUUCUUUGUUAUUAAUUCAGUCUAGUUGUAUUAUGUUUUAUUAAUAAAAUAUAUAGGUUUAAAUCUUGUUGACUAAUAGGGCCGAACCAAAUAAUUAUAUUUAAUUUAUUGUGUGAUAUUUUCAUCAUCUUUAGUGUAAAUCCUAUGGUUAUAAUUUUUUUUUAAGUCAUGCGGCUUUAUAACAGUUGAAUACAAUAUUGCAAUAAGUGCGAAUAGUGUCAAGAGACUAAUGUGAAACUUUUGUUGAAUUGAAGGACAUAAAUUGACCGAAUUUUUGUUCUAGGACAUAUUCUAAAGUCGGGAGCAAGUUCAGGGAUGAAUUCUCAUUUUCACCUUUUUAAAUCUUUCUUUGCUUAUAAAAACAGAUGAAUACUUGUAUUAUGUGGAAAGAUUUACAAUAUAUGAAGCUAUCGAUUGAAAUGUAAAUGUAAAUAUUGUUGAUGUGAUAUUCAAGUUGUUAGGAUUUAAUGUGAGUCAUUGAAUCAUAGUCUUUUUGGUAUCUUAGAUUAGAUUUCAUUAAGUCAUAACUCAUGACAAGUGUAAUCAUCUCAUAAGGUGACUUAAGAUUGAAUGGUUAGGAUGAUUUUGUAUGGUGUGAUAGAGUGAGAGAGUGUGGUGCUCCUCCUCUAACGAUAAUAUAUUAUUUGCAUGCAUAUUAAAUUAUUAGUCUCUGUGAUGAUAUGGUAGUUGGAAGAAAGUUCAUGUAGUAAAAGAACAAAAAACCAAAUCCCCUCCUUCUUUCCUGCAACCCGCACCUCCACCAGCGUUUUUUUAUCAGGAAAACUAAUGAAAAGGGCUUGAAAACUUUGAGUUUUAAUGAUAAGGACAAAAUAAAGGGUAAAGUGAAUAGUACCAGGAUUGACUUUUUAGUGUAAAAAUAUGGUUUUUCGUUAAAGUGAACAGUACCGGGAGCUUUUCGUUAAAGUUUCCUUUUUUAUCUUCCCCCAAUCAACUUUUUAACCACUCAAAGCUGUCCUAAAAUCCCUUUUCUUCUUCUCUCUCCUCAAAACCUUCUUCUUCCCUUCUUCCUCCCCCAAUCAAAUUUUAAACCCCUCAAAGCUAUCCUAAAAUCCCCUUGUCUUCUUCUCUCUGCUCAAAACCCAAAAAGCCUGCGUGCGCUUCCAACAUCCAGGUUGCAGACAGGUUCGCGGCGAUCUGCAGGCUGCUGGAGCAGUAGAUUUUGCAUUCGGCUUCCUCCGCUAACAAGUCUUAGAUUUGGCAACAGCUCUAGCACUACUCUCAGUUCCCCGAUUUCAAUAACUACCUUGCUUUCAAUCUCGCACGUGCCGAGGUAUGCUCCCCCUCCCUCCACUUCCCCCCAAUUGUGUAUUCAUUUUCAAUUUGAGUCAGUAGGGUUUGUGUUUUUGCUUUUCAAUUUUUAUUUUUUUAAGAGAGAGAGAGGGAUGGGGAAGAAAUUACAGGGGGAAGAAGAAAGGUGGGGGAAGGUUGGGGGAGACUGGUGGUGAAGGAAGGCUGGGGGAGGGUGUGGGUUGCAGGGAAGAAGGAAGGGAGGGUUGGGGGAGGAAGAAAGGAAGAAGAAGAAGUAGAGAGAGGAAAAAAAAAAAAAGAAAAAAAGCUGGAGGGUGCGGGUUGCAGGAAGAAGAAGGGGAUUUCAGGGUUUUUUUUUUAUUAUAAUUUUUUUUAAUAUAUAUUUUUUUAAUGAUAUGUGGCAUCUAGUCAUUGUCCACGUGGAACAACAUGAUCAGUUAACAGAAAACUUAACAGUUUGACUAACGGAUGAAUGAGACUGUCCCAAAAUUUACACUUUAGAUAUAACUCUAAAACGAAAAAAACUUGAUGUACCAAAUGUUGAAAACCACAAAACAUAAAGGUAGUAAAGGGAGUUACCCUAAAAAAAAUUAGAAUUUAAGUUCUUGUGGGGAAGUUUGUUAGUAUUUAUGCCAAAAAAUGAAACUUCCGUCAACUCUCCUUUAAUUAUUAACACGUGAGCUAUACAUAUUAGGCUAAAACAAAAUUCUCCAUCAAUUGUUAGCAUGUGGGGCUUAAAUAUGAGGCUAACUUUAUUUUUUAGUCUCAAAUGUGAGUUUCAUAUGCUAACAAUUAACGAAGAGUAGACGAAAUUUUUAAUUUUGAAUCUAAAUCUAAAUAGAUUUCACCACACGGACUUAAAUCCUCUUUUUUUUGUUGUUAUGAUUUAAUGUGAGUCAUUGGAUCAUAGUUCAUGUGGUCUCUUAGAUUAGAUUUCAUUAAGUCAUAACUCAUAACAAGUGUAAUCAUCUCAAAAGGUGACUUAAGAUUGAAUGGCUCUGAUGAUUUUGUAUGAUGUGAUAGAGCGACAAGUGUGAUGCCCCUCCUCUAACGGUAACAUAUUCUUUGCACGCAUUUGGUGUGAGGAUGAUAAUCCAAUGAGAAUUUCAGCUGUGAUACUUCUUUGCAAUUGUUGCAUCACUGCAAUUCCUCAGAAAUCAUUCCAUUGAAAUCGUACACUCAGAAUCAAUAUACUAACAAAUCUAUUACAAUGGAUUUCCGAAUUACUCGUUUCCCCAUGUUACGCCAACGCAUCUGUAGAACGGUAAGAACUUGGCCGGUGUUAAAGGUAGGCAUUGGUAGCGGUUGGUCAGCCCAAUCUGGUGAUAGUUCCACGAGAUGGCUGAAACUUACAUGAAACCUGUGUAUACCCCCAUCUGUAUCAUCACGAGAGGACGGAGAUAGAUGAGGAUAUAUUUUGUCUCUCCCGCAAGAGUCUGCUACACACUCAAGAAGCACCACGGUGUCAUGUUUUUGAUCCUAAUGAAGACCGCGCGGGUUCGGCGAACAUGCUCCCCGAGGCAUAACCAAAGAAUAAAAAUCAAAACAAUGGCCUGAGCAUGCUACUACUUAGGGGUGGAUUUUUUUGCCUAAUUGCCGUGCCAACCGAAUUACCAACCGUGCCAUACCGAUUUUGUGCCAAAUUUUUUUGUGCCAAUCGGUAAUGGUACGGUAUUCUACCGUACCGAAAUUUCUUGGUACGGUAUUGGUAAUGGAUAUCAUUACCACGGUAUUACCUUACCGUACCGAACAUAUAAUAUAAUAUAUCAUUUAUAAAUUAUAUAAUAUAUAAUUAUAUAACACAUAUUUAUAAUAUUCUAAUAAUUUGAUAUGAUGAAAGAGGCUCAACCUCGGUUCAAGAUUCCAAAUAGGAAGAAGAUUGCGGCCAAUGUGUGGGAUUUAUAUGUGUUGGAGAAGUCUAAAUUAUUUGAAGCAAUGCAUAAUCAAAAGGUAAGUAUCACAACCGAUACUUGGACAUCAGUACAAAACAUUAACUACAUGGUAGUUACCGCUCACUUCAUGGAUAAUGAAUGAAAGUUGCACAAACGGAUCAUAAACUUCAUAAAGAUCACGGGUCAUAAGGGAGAAGACAUUGGGAAAGUUCUAGAGGUGUGUUUGAACCAAUGGAGGAUAGAGAAGAUCUUUAGCAUGGGGGAAACUUCUAUUUGUUUUGGUUCAUAACUUCUAUUUGGAUUGUAAGCUUAAUUUUCAUCAUGAAUCUUGAUACAUCAUUUGAAUUAUUGUGUGUGUGAAUUGUAAAUGAUGAAUAAUAGAUGAAUUUAGGCUACAAUGUAUGAGAUACAGGUACAAUAAAAAAGUUUUGCCCUUGAAUUGGGUUAAAAAAGCAAGAACAAAUUUUGUCCCAAAACAAAGUGGCAAUUACCAUUGCCAUACAAUGCCAACCGAACAUUUGGCAAUACCGAACUUCGAUAUACCGAAAGUUUGGUAUGGUAAUGGUAAUAGAUUUUACCAAACCGAAAGUUUGGUAUGGUAAUUGGUACGAGGGUUUUGGUACGGUAACCGUACCGAACCCACCCCUACUACUACUUGUAUGCCCUUGUCCAAACAGGUACACAAUAUAUCAGGAUUCCCAAACCAAACGAGGUGCAUAUCGUAGCUGUGGCAUAUGCGUAUGCUCUCCAUGGGUAUUUGCUUUCUCUCAUCGCGUUGAACUCAGCGAUGAAGGUAGAAACAGUACUAAGGCAACCCAAAAAUCCAAAUUGUAUGCCUGUUGCAACAAUGUCGCAAGUCUUAGUAUUCACCUGCACAAACAAAUAGUUCUGCACGUCAGAUUUUCUAUUAAAAAGGAAAAAACCGUGGGCAUGGAUCAAGACAACGUAUGACAAAGGUAAUGCAGUUCGAAAAACAUUACAAUAGAGAAUAGUACGGUUCAAGAAUUCCCCAAGAAGCUUUUAAAACCUCGACGAGAAAAAAAAAAACCCAAAAUAACAAAUUUAGCAGUUUAUAAUAUGACGAAUAUAUGUGAACAGUAAGCUUGCCGGACACGAGACAAUAACACAUGAAAGGUAAUGGUGAGGAUGAAGUCAUGGAGUGGAUGCGGACAGAUAUCAUAUCAUAACAGCUUACUGCCUUCUUCACAGUAGACAGGGCUGCCAUUACACAAGCUGCAGAAACAUUGGCAAUUAAAGUACCAAAUGGAACCCAUUUCAACAACCCGGUCUUUCCUAAUCCACAUCCAUUAAGCCGGGCUAAGAACCACCGGAUCCACACACCAAAAGGUCCAACUAUGCAACCCAACCAUAGUUGCGCCUCGCUGCUGCUACUGUUAAAUUCCUCUCUCAACAGUACUCCACCUAUGCUCCACAGAGAACUUAGCAUCAGCAACAACACUACUAAAGCUACCAAGUGACGCUUGUAGCUGUCAACCCUCCACCUCCUUCUAGAGCUGGUAAUACCACAGACUGAGCUUCUCUCAAGAAUCUGCCUAAAACCCUUUGCUGUCUCUACCCCAAAAAUGAUGGAGUAGGCCGCAAGAAACAAACCUGACAUCCGUCACAUAAAAGAGGAUCUCAUAUUAGUCCAGUGAUUUGAGUAACAUUGAUUGAAAUGAAAUUUAAAUAUCCUGUUUGCCAAAGCGAUCCACAUGUCUACUGCAGCAAUUCUUUAGAAUAUGACAUCUUACCUAUCAAAAAGCCGAGCAGAGCAAAAACCCAAUGUCCUUCAACACUGAGUUCAAGCAUUUUCUGGUUCCAACCACUAAAAGUUGUAAGGCUUCCCAAGUAACCAGUUGUUAAUCCGAUGACCAAAUAAUCUGACACAUAGGAUAUAUCUCUUUGAAAACAACACCCAAACACCCCAUCAAGAAAGAGCCAACCUACAAAAAUGCAUUAGAAACAAAAAUUUGAGUUGGAACAUCAUCCAGCAUUUUCGGCAUCACAACCAUUGAGAACUAUGACAUGAAAAAAAAAAAAGAUGAUGGGAAAAAAGUAUGGAAAGAAAGGUGUUAAGAAACUUGAUAAUACUUCGGCGAUCAUCGUACUGUGUGCAUCACAAGUCCUUCCUAAUACUCAUAAGUAACAGCUUUACAGAAAACAUGUUUAUUAACACAACACUACCGAAUAAAGGGCAUAAUACAUUUGUGUGUGUGUGUGUAUGAUCGUGUGCAUGAGAGAGAGAGAGACCAUAUUAGAAGGAAGAUCAAGGUAGAGAAUGGUUUUGUCGCUUGUUACACCAACAACUCCAGGGCCAAACAAUUUUUGCAGAAGAUAUCUCGUUAAGACCUGCAUACUGUAGCAUGUCAAAUAAUCUAUUUAAUAUCUAGGUUUCCAGAUUUGAAGAAAGAUCUAAGAAGAUGUAUUACAGUGACAUAUUCAAUUUUUUCCAAGACAAACAGAAAUAUGAACAUGCCAGUGCAUCAUCAAACAUUUUUGUGAACAAAACUUAUGUAAUUUUAGGGGGUACAAUAGACCGGAUACAAUUUGUCUGCAUACCAAUUACACAGAUUUUCCACACAAGAAAAAAAAAUAGCACGAAAAAGUUCGCAAUACAAUUUGCCAAACAAAUGCAACAACAGCUAUAAACCCAACACAUUAGGACUAAAAAAAAUUUACAUCGGUAUUUAGUAAGAAACAGAGUUAACCGUGUUACCCCAAGAAUGCCAAAAAAUGCUAAAUGAGUCAUGCAUGAACCAUAUUCCAAUAAUUUUGGCAACCUUGUUGUAUUUUCCUGCAUAUGAAAACAAAAUAAUUUAAGUUACUAGCAUGAUUCGACAAAAAGAAAAGAAAAAACUCUUAACAUGUUAUGAUCAAUGAAAAAGAAAGCCAAAUGGACAAGGAUCUCUAACAAACAUAAUAUACAAUAUGAAUUUUAUCAACCGAAAGCUCACUGGCUUUUUGUCUUCGGAUAUGAUCGCAUCAGUGGAAAGAGGAGAUAUGAUUUCCUUUGGCAAGGGAGUGACAGGGGAAAUUGCAGGGUCACGACCCCAUAAUCCAUAGGUUUGCAGUUGAACAUACUCUGAAGGAAACAGGCAGACGCUGCCAAUCUCACUGUGCCUAUUGCUGUGAAGAGCCCGAUCGCCAAUAUCUCCUGCCUCUGACACACAUUCACUUUCAUUGUCAUCAUCUAUUUGAGAAGGCCGAACAUGUGAUAAACUUAAAGACCGCCUCCUUAAUGAAGAAGUGGCACCGCUUGUUCGAUCAUUGGAUACGCUUCGUCUGGGUUUAGUGUCAUUAGUCCCACGGUACCCUUCCUCCAUAACCACAGCGCUUGAUUUCUCUUGAAGUGACUUCACAAAUAAUAACAAUAAAAUCCGAAUGUUGAUUAUUUAGAGAGCUAAAAAUGAGAGGAACAAGUCCAGUAGAGAAAAUAAUGCAAUUAUUGUGCUACAAACGUUGAAAUGCUAUAGUUUGUACUUUGGAAGGAGCCCUAACCACUCCGUGUGUCAAAAUAAUCAAAAGAUUUGCAUACAAACAAACGGCGACAACUCUUUCAGCUUUAAUAAGAAUAAGUCAAGACCUUAAAAACCAAAAAAAAUAUAAAAAUAAAUAUGAAGUAUAAUGACAAAACUUCGUACAUAAGCUCUAGCAGCCAUGACACGAGCAAAAAGAAAGAGACAAAACUGAUUCGUCAAGAUUUCCACAAAAUUCAUACAUCCUAUAGCUCUAAACAAAUCCAUUCAGAUAAUAUUUAUUAUGCUACGUAUUAAGAUUAUAGAAUUAUGAAUGAUGUCACCGUUUCAUCUAUUCAUCUAAAGGGAGAAUGUACGCUUUAUUUUUCUACUUGUCAUCAAGUAAGAAGAUACAAUAAUGCAAUUAGACUUAGUUUUUCGUCAACAAAAGAGUACUGUUACACUGCAGAAUUAUGUUUAACCACAGAAGAAACAAAAAUAAUUGCUCAACUUUUUCAAUGACACCACACGAUUUAACAACACCAACAAAAAGCAAAUGCCAGGGCCUGCCAACUAAAUUAAUCAUAAAGUAAAUUUCAGUGUCAAACAAAUCACAGAAUGUUUCUCAAAAAACAAAAAACAGACGAAUCACAGAAUGUCCUUCAAACCAAUUUAAAUCUAGCAACCCAAUAGUUAUUUUGACAAAUAAUCAAUGAUUUCUCUUCAAACUUGUAAUACCAAACCUUGUGAAUUUCAGUUCAUAUACAGAAUGCAAUAUGCUUUUGUCGUCUUUGUAAAACAAAAUACAGAAGACAAAUCAUCAAAAAAUCCCAGUCCGAUCUAAUAUUGUCAUGUAUUUCAACUAUCCCAAGUAACAGUGCAUGAUGAAUUUGGGAUACUGACACAAUGACAUUUGGUUAUAGCUAAGUUCGAGAAGGGACUAUCUUUUUGCUUUAUGACUACUAGGUAGCAAAUUGAACAAGUUGGGACCUAAUAAAAAGUUGGUUCAUAACAUCAAAUUAGAAGCAGUAACAAAGUCAAUUUGUUUAAUAAGCACUCAAAUCUCAUUUCUCUAAGGACGUGUCCUCCACUAAAGAACCUAAAACAUAAAAAACCAGAAGAACAAAAAGAUUACAUUUUCAUUGGUUGUGAACUGUUAAAUUAUGCACAAACUAAUCAGAA